rnacentral:lncRNA from 1 species
GGAAAGCCUAGCACAAAAACCAUAAGAAUUAUUUGGGUUUAUAUCAAGAAGAGGAUAAUGGAGAUGAAGAACAAGGCUGCUUUGGUGGCUAUGGUGGUUUUCAUGGUGGUUAUGGCUCAAUCUGUCACCACGAUCACCGCCGAUGAGACGAUUGAGCUCUCAGGUGGAGAAAACACAGCAAGAGUGUGUCCUGCUACGCUUUUGCCUUGCGAAACAGACUCUGAGUGCUCUCCAUGCAUUUGUAAUGUUAAAUCUGGCGCCUGCGUUUGAAACAAAUUAAAAACAAGAUCAUCAAGAACAAUUAUUGUACCCAUUAUCAAUAUCUACAUAUGGUCUUUCUUUCCCUUUUAAAUCAGGAAUAAAAACUUACCUUUCAGAACAAUCUUUGGCCAUGUCUUAUGUUGUGACUAUUAUAUAUUGAUGUGUGCUAAAUCAAUUAUAUGUUGUUGAUUCCAUUAUAUAUUUCCGUUCAUCGUCUGAUCUCUCUCUCUCUCUCUCGUUUAGUUAAUGAAAAAUGCCACUAAAGAAUAGAAAGACAACGUUGGUAAAGCUCCGUCGGUGAAAAUCACUUCACUCUUUUCUUUCUCCUCCUUCAACACUUUCCAUUAUUGUUAUUUUCUUUCUGCUCCCUCAACACUAUUUCAUAAGCAGAAUGAACCAACAUAUAUUUAUUCUUUUCAAUUGAAUGAUACACAUCAACACAUUAUUAUUUUAUAUACCAUAUGAUAACAAUAAUAGAAUGCAUGUGGUAAUGAUCAGUGUUAAAAUGAAGUAAAACUAUCAACAGAAAAAUAUAUCCAUAGCAUAGUACUAAAUUUUCAUGGACAUGUAGAAAUUUCUAUAUCAAUAUAUCCAUUUUUUUCAUGGGUUCAACGUUUAUAUUUUAUCAUGUAAAAAAAUCCACAAAAUACAAAAAAAAAUAAGGUGUCAAAUAUCAUUAAUAUAAAUCUCAUACAAAAGCAUGUCAACUUAUUUCAUGUUUUUCAAUAUAUAGCAAAAUGAAUUAAAAAAGUUAUAAAUAUAACCAAAUUCUUGUAAUCUAUGGAUAUCUUAAAUAACAAAUUUUCUAUUUGAAUUGAAGUAAUUUAUCUCAGAAGUAUGGGUUGAAAUCAAAAUUUUAUCUAUAUUUUUAUCAAAUUUUUUGUAGAACCAAUAUUUCAGUAUCAACAUUUUAAACUGUGAUGAACAGUCAAUAUUGGUUGGUAGACAAUUUCAAUACUUUUGAAUUACCAACCACUACCAAACAUUAUUGACUUUAGGGUCUUAAUUUAUGAUCCCUUUCUUCAACUAUUCAUCUUUAUCAAAUUAAAAUUAAGCUUAUUAAUAUACAUGACUAAUCAAUUAUAGACAAAGGUGGAAUUUUGAUAAAUUCCAUGCAUAUCAAUUAUCAAAAUAAACUUGGUCUCUCUACAAAAAUAUAAUGCAAUUUUUUUUCUUUUAAAGAAUAGACAUUUAAAAAGGAAAAAAAAAAAAAAAAAACUACCUUCUCAUUUUAGACAUUUUCUACAAUUUAUCAAAAUUGACUUAGGGAGAGAGAUCCAAUAAAAUUCAUAACCAUCAUAACACCCUUCCUUUUUUUCCUGUCCUAAUGAAGAACUUUGGACAAAUGUUUAAAUUAUUUUUUCAUUUACUUGUUUAAGGACAUAAAAGAGUUUAAGUCAUUUUUGUUCUUUUAAAAAUCACUCUGAAUUAGAUGUUUAAAUAAUUAAAAGUUUCAUGUAUGACAGAGACUUUGGAUAGAAAGCUUCUCUAGUUUUCCUGUCAUUCUUAUUCACUUCUCUCUUUUCUUCUCUUUUAAGAAAAGAAACUUAAGUAUCAAACACAACAUGUUUGAUCUUAAAACUUAAGUAUCAACAUGUUUGAUUCAAUUACGGUGAUAUAUCUCUCUAACAUUACAAUGAAUGACAAACUCCGAUUCUGUAUCUCAAUAUGUCAAAUCAAAACAUUUCGACCGAAGUGCUUCCUCGACAGAUUCACAUGAACCAAUAUUCUUUAACAUCAAACAAGAGAGCUCAGUUAUUUGGUCAUCGAGGAACGCAUAUGUUUGCUCAUCGAUGAGCGCCAAGGCACUCUAUCGUAGCGAAGCACAAUGCUGUGACAAUGGGUUGUGUUCAAACUUAGCACGAAAAUUAAAAUGUCCAGUAGAUUCUUAAACUUUCUACUUACAUCACUUCCCUGUUCUCCUUACCCAAAUAUGGCUCAACUGUUGCCAAAAGAAGGGGUUUUCAACUUUUUAUUACAUAAAUUAACCGUAGACUAUAUAACAAAAAAUGGGGGCAAACAAAAGAUUAAUGUUCUUUUAUUAUUAUUUAUUUAAACCCAAACAUUAGAAUACAAAUUUCAGCAGCUUAAAUCAAUAAUCUAAAUAGGAACCAUUGAAGAGCAACAGCCCUAGCUUGUAUUACAAAUUCCAUACAUUAGCAGUUGUUAAACUGGAACAACAGGCCUAGCUGCUUCAAGUGCUUUCUUAAUUCUCUCCACAGCAGCUUGCAAUACACUGAGGGAUUCAGCGUAUGAAAUCCGAAUGCAAGUAUCGUCACCAAAUGCAUCCCCUGGAACCAAAGCAACCUGAAAAUUCGAACAACCGUAUCGAUUGCACCUCUUAGGAUGAUAAUAAACUAAGAAAGGCUUUAAAUUUUAGAACAAUGAGAAAAAUCCAUUAGUGAGAAAAUAUGAUGUUUUGCUUCUUGAUGAACCUCUACCUGGCCUUUCUCAAGAAGAUAUCUGCAAAGUGACUCUGAAUUGUUGAUUACACCAAAUCCUUCAACUUCAGCUCCGUAGUAAGAGCUGAAAUCAAGGAAGAGGUAGAAAGCUCCCUACAACAAGUUACAAAAUCUUCAGAUAUUACACUGACAUCAAAAUUAUGAAAGAUAAGGAUGGGUUGGCAAAGAACACGCAAAAGGUUGUAGUUGGGACCUGAGGUUCUGAAAUCUUGACACCUGCGAGUUCGCCAAAGCUUUUUACCAAAUAAUCACGACGUUCUCGGAAGGCUUUCACCAUCGUGGCAACUGCUUCCCCACCAGCAUAGCCCAUUCCUAGAGCUGCAACAGCUGCUUUUUGGGAUAUGCUACUUGCUCCUGAAGUGGACUAUCAUAACAAAUAUACAGAGUAAGUUGGUGAUGGGAAAACAUGCUCUGACAAUUAACAAUUUGAAAACUUAAUCCAAGAAUUUGAUCCAUCUCAGGUUGCAGCAUAUUUUUUAGAAAGAGAAACUAUUGCAUAAAUAAAAAAGAUAUCCCUACGAGAUGCGGGACACAUAUUGACUUUUGUGCAUUGGGAAUAAUUCCAUAUCUCAAGUUAAAGUUCCAACUUUGAAUUUCCAAUAGGUAUUCAGUCCCUUUACACUUUUGUUGCCCUGGGGCUUCAGCCAUCAUCCUUACAUCAAAUUCUCAAACACGAAACAGAAAUUCAAAGUAUCCCUAUACCUUUGUCUGGAAUUUUGAAAAUAUGCAUAACCAUAUAAAAACUUGUAUACCCUACUUCCAGAGAUGGAGAUCCAAGAUAGUUCCAAAAGUCAUUCUACAUUACCAAGUCAACUGUGGUUUCAAAACAACCUUCCUGGAUUUCCUUUUUUUCUACCUUUACUUUCUACUAAGUACACAAUAAUAGGAUAGAUGCUCAAAAUGGAUGAAGACAUUCUCUAAAGAAAAAUAUUUUCACCAUUGUCACUAGAAAAGAAAGUAAGACAAAAUGAGUCAACACAAUGCAAAGACGAGUUCAAAACGAUUGAACAUUGCAUAACUAAGCUCAAACUGCUAAGAGAGAUGAGAAAUACUAAAGUUUAAACAUACCUGACUCUGAAUUUUUCCACAAGCAGAAACAAAGUGUUUGGGACCAGCAAUAUAUCCAAGUCGCCAACCAGUCAUUGCAAAGGCCUAAAACAUUACACUUUCAAAUGUAAAGGAAUUGUAUUGCUAAACAUACCACAUACGAACUUUCACAUGGUUGGUAGUAGUAAAGAUCCAAACUUUUCAUUACCUUAGAGAACCCAUUAACAGUUAGAGUUCUUUCCCACAUGCCUGGCAAAGAUGCAAAGCUGGUGUGAGUUGCUGGAGCGUAAAUUAUGUGUUCAUAUAUUUCAUCAGACAGCACCUGCAAACAAUAGAUAAUUUAAGAUCAAACAGUUCAAUACAGUACUUUCAUCACAGUUAAAGAAACCUCACCAGAAGUCUAGGAUGUUUUGCAACAAUUUCAGCAAUCUUUUCAAGUAGUUCCUUUGGAUAAACAGAUCCUGUAGGGUUGGAUGGAGAGCAAAGAAUCAACAGUCUCGAUUUCUCUGUGAUCUUUGAUUCAAGAAGCUUUGGAUCCAAAAGAAAGUUAUUGUCUAUAUGUGUUGGAAGAAUCACAGGAGUUGCAUCAGCCAGCCUUGCCAUUUCCGGAUAGCUUACCCAAAAAGGAGCCGGAAUUAUAACCUACAGGGGAAAAUAGGCAAUCAUGAACUGUUUUAUAAAUGGAUGAAGUUCCUUUAAAAUAAUAUUGGUACUACAUGGCUAAUUGUCUUAAUAUCUCCCCAAGAAUAAGCUACUCGGAUCAAGAUUCAACUAUUGUACCUCCUAGUCAUAUCUCUUUGCAACUGACUGUCAGAGUAGUAUAAAUCUAUUACAUUCAUCGAAAGACCAAGAAAACCCUUACCUCAUCCCCUGGAGAACAAACAGCAACAACUGCCUGAAGAAUACUCUGUUUGGCUCCAUUGCUGACCAAUAUUUGAUCUGGUGUAUAUGAAAGCCCAUUCUCAUCUGGAGACAAAGAGAGAAAAACUCAACCACAUUUCUAAACACUCAAUGGAGCUAGUAUACAACUCAACCAUAUUUCCAAAACUCCAUCCCCUAAACACAACUAACCUUUCAGCUUAUGACAAAUUGCUUGGCGGAGUUCCAAUGUUCCUGCAUUGGCCGUGUAGCGAGUGUAGCCAUCCCGAAUUGCAUUAAUGCCAGCCUAACAUUCAUUUAGGAGUAAAAAGGAUCGACUAACACACGUUGAAAGAUGAAAAUAUACAUAUACUAGCAUCAAAAGAAAACUUGGACAUUGAACACUAAAAAUUUUAGCAUAAGAUAAUACCUCAGUAAUUGGGGCAGGUGUAUCAAAAUCAGGUUCACCAGCAGCCAACCGGAUCACAGGCACACCGGCUUGCACAAGAGCCGUAGCCUGAUCACUUAUGGCAACUGUCUUGGAAGGUUUUACAGAGUUCACUCUUGGGCUCAAAGAAAUGUCGACACUCACAUGGUCGGGAAUAUUUCCAGCCAUUACUGGCUUCACUUUCUUAGUCAACUGUACAGACCUAUCAUAAAAUGGAAAGUUUAAGGGACAGAGAAAAAAAAAGGUAUAAUAACACGUUCCCAGCAAUUAUAGUCAAAGAUAAAAACGACCCAUCAACAAGGAACAUAGAAAUUCCACAUAAAAACCAUAAAUUCACUCAAAGAGCAUAAAAAUGGUCCGCAAAAGAGAAAUCAUCGCCCGAAGCUAAAACCCAGAAAGAAUAAAAGUAAAAGAAAGCAGAGCAUACUUGAGGGAGGGAGCAAGACGUUGAGAAGGGAAAGAUAGGGAUCCAAAAGCAGAAUCCAAGGUAGAAUCAGCUCCAGAAAAUUGGUGUCUGAAUCCAAGACGAGAAGCAUCAGGUAAAAUGUGCAAGGAACUUGCCAUGGCAAAGUGGAAGGUAUCCGGAUUCAGCAGGGACAGCAAUAGAACAGGAGUAAUUGAGAGAAAAAGUGGAAGAAGAGAGAGUUAAGUAGGCAGAAGGCAGCAAUAAGAAAUGAAGAAGAGAAGGAUGGGUUGGUAGAGAAAGGGAAGGAAAGAGUGGGGAGUUGGUGGAGAUGACGAAUGUCGGAAAUUUCGAUCAAGAGGCGGAGUUAGGUAAGGUUGAGCAGUUGCCGUAGUUGACCUGAGCCGUCGGAUCCAACCUCUUGCGUCCAUGGUGGGUAGGUUUAUUCCAUUAUAAAACCUAUAAACUAUAACACAUUUUUCCCUUUUUAACAUCUUCUAUAAACGUCUUUCAUUUUUCUACUCUAUAAUAUGUUUCAUUUACGAAAAUGUAAAUCUUUAAACUAAAAUUGUCACUCAAUACAAUUUUCCUUCUCUCUGUUCACAAAGCUAUGGAUGUUUGUAUAAUUUUAUUUGAAGAUUGGAGAUGGAUACUUGUAUCUUUGAAGUAGAAGAUGGUGCAAUUGGUACACACUUCAUGUGAAACCAUCUCUUUUUCACAACAAACUCAUUAGUUUCCUUUCCUAUCAAAACCUUAAAAUCUCUCUCUCUCUCUCUCACCAACACAUACUUAGGAAACGUUUUUCUCGUGGUGACAAGUGGCCUUCUUUACUCUUCUGAUCUUGAUGUUAAUCACUUCUUCUUUUGGUCAUUCUUAAACUAAUUAUCAUCAUUGUUAGUUUUAAUUGAAUAUAUGUUUUUGAUUGUUUAUUUAAAAAAUGACCAAAAGUAUGCAAACUUCCCUUGUCCACUGCCACCAAUUGAUACUAAGUUAGAGUUGUUGUUGCUGCUAAGAAACAAAGAUUGAUGAUUGUCUCUUCCUUCUGCUCAUGCUCUCUGUUUAACCAUUUUGGCUAGCUAACAUUUUUUUAACUUUUUUACUACACAUACGAGUGUGUUUUGUUUGGAAAAUUGCUAUUCAUUUCUCGGUUGUACGUGGGAGGGUCACUCACACACACAAUGAGAGAUAGAGAUAAUGAGUUUGUUAGAAAAGUGAUUGGUUUUGUAAAAUAAAAUAUGUUUUGUGUUUAGGGAUAACAUUUUUUUUUUUGUUUAAAUGGAAUCGCAUUUAUGAAAUAUUGACUUUUCUUGGGUACGUAGUCUGUAGUCUGAGCCAACUUUAAUGUAUUCACAUCUAAAUAGUUAAUGGUUGAAUUACAAAUUUAGUCUCUAAACUUUUACGUUUGUAUCAGUUUUUAAUUUACUAUUUAAUCCAUUUUUUUCUCGUUUUUUAAUUUUAUACUUAUGAGUUUCGUUAAUUUUAAUAUUUCUAUUUAAAAAAUAUAGUUUGUAUUUCAAGUUAUAAAUUUGAUACAAUUACAAAUUUUCAUUUAUUCUUUUACUUUGUAACUAUAUAAACUAACACGAUUUGGUAAAUUAAAUAUGCGAUAUUUUUGAACUCUUGAUAUAUUUAUUAGAAUAAGAAAUUUUGUUUUUUCACAUAAAUAAUUUUUUUUUCUCUUUUAGAAAAACUACAAAGUUAAAUAUAACCAAAUUAUUUUUUCUUUUCAAAAGAACUACUUCAUAAAUUAAACUUAAAAGAUUGAUUCUACAUUCCUAUAAAAGAAAGAAAAAGAUUAGUUGGAAAGUUAGUCAAUAAUCUUUGAGCUUAAAAUAAUUGUUGUUUUUCUUAAACAAAAAAAAGUUUCACAUUUUACAAUCUUUAUCUUUUCAUUUAAAAGAAAUAAUCAACAAUUUAAAUUCAAAGGAAAAAAACAAAAUAAAGAAAAGACAAAAAGGGCAUAAAUUAUUCAACCACGUUUCCUUUCAUCUAAAAAUAAUAUGUAGAAGUGUCAAAAAAGAAAAUCCAGUUUUCUUUAAAUAAAUAUUUCUUUCUAUAACUUUACAAAACUAUUUCUUACUUUUUAUGUUGAAAAAAAAAAAAAAAAAAAAAAAAAAACUUUGGAUUCAAAGUUAUUAAUAUUUUUUCAAUAAAAGAUUAUGAUUAAUAAUUUAAUAUAAUUUAAUUUCCCUAUAAUAAUAAUUGAAAUAAAUAAAUGCUCAAACUUCAUCUCUUGCUUCAUUCAAGAGCUCUUUCAGCAGAAACACACUGAAGCAUAUCCUUUUUCCUUUUUCCAUAAACGCCAAACCCAACACAACCAUGGAAUUUUUUUAACAUGGACUGUGUUUCUUUGGCAUAAUAAAAGCUUUAGAUGAACUGAAAUUGAAGAAACUCGGAGGUUUUCAGGUGGUGUGUUUCUCUGUUUUGUGUUAGAUUUAGAACUAAAUCUAGAAAUUUAGCAAAAUUACUUGUAUUUUUUUUUUCCUCAAUGGGUUAUCGGAAUUUGGGUUUCUUUCCAUUUCCAUGGCUUCUGUGGCUAUCUCUGGUUCCCCUUUGUAUGGGGAGGUUUGUAGUGGAGAAAAACAGCUUGAGGGUGACUUCUCCUGAGAAAAUCAGGGGGACUUAUGAUUCUGCCAUUGGAAAUUUUGGGAUUCCUCAGUAUGGAGGUAGCUUGGCAGGUGUGGUGGUUUAUCCAAAGGAGAAUCAGAAAGGUUGUAAAGACUUCGGUGAUUUUCAUAUCUCGUUCCAGUCGAAGCCAGGGUCUCUCCCUAUAUUUGUCAUGGUCGAUCGUGGAGGUAACUUUUGUUUUGGGGUUCUUUUGAUUGUUGUUACUUUGUGUGUUUUAAGGUAAAGUUGAUUUGUUGUUGGUGAUUUUGAGUUACCAUUUUCUUGAUCUAAGAAGCCAUUUGUGAAUGGGUUUGAUUUAGCUUAUGAAUUGAUAUUCCUACUUCCUGGGUUUGAGGUCUUUCUGGUAUGUUAGUUUUUUUUUUUUUUUUUUUUUUUAUACUUCUGUUGAAAUUGAACUGGGUUUUUAGCUCGGUUAUAUUCUGGCGGCUUCUCAUGGCUUAUUGAUGAGAUGGUGUUCAAAUUACCAUUUUUCUCUCUCUCUCUCAUAGAAACCUGGGCUAUAGUUUUGCUUUCAUUGGUCUUGCACAUUGGGUUUUGUAGAGCAUAUACUCAAGGCUUUUAGACUUUUAUUUGAACUGAAGUUGCAAGUUCUUAGUUUGUAACUUGUCUCUUUCUUCGAUCAAAAUUUCUGUGGAUCUUUUUGAGUUAAAAAAAUAAUUCUUGCGCAUACCAUCGUCAGUUCAAAACCUCAUAUAUGUAUAUUAUGUAGGUUUUGAUGUACUUUUGCUCAACUUUUUGUUCUUUUCUUUUAUCUUUUGAACUUGCAGAUUUUCUUGUGAAUUCUGUGACAGCUCCUUUGAAUAUCUUAGCAACUUGUCUGAUAGCUUGUCAUGUUGUUUUUUUCCAGAUUGUUUAUUUGCCCUUAAGGUUUGGAAUGCUCAAAAGGUAGGUGCUUCUGCAGUUCUUGUUGCAGACCACCUUGACGAGCCAUUAAUCACUAUGGACUCACCAGAGGAGGAUGGUUCAACUGCAACAUACGUAGAAAAUAUAACAAUACCAUCUGCACUUAUAAGAAAGGGUUUCAGUGAACAAUUAAAGAAAGAAAUCAAUGCUGGGGAAAUGGUCAGCCUGAGUCUUGAUUGGAGAGAAGCUGUUCCACAUCCUGAUGAUCGUGUGGAAUAUGAGCUCUGGACUAAUAGUAAUGAUGAAUGUGGGUUUAAAUGUGAUAUGUUGAUGGAGUUUUUGAAAGAUUUCAAGGGUGCUGCUCAGAUACUUGAGAGGCGUCGGUAUACUCAGUUUACACCACAUUAUAUAACUUGGUUCUGUCCCCAGGCGUUCACCUUAAGCAGACAAUGCAAAUCACAGUGCAUCAAUCAUGGAAGAUACUGUGCUCCUGACCCAGAGCAGGAUUUUAAUUCAGGAUAUGAUGGAAAAGAUGUAGUUAUUGAAAACCUGAGACAGCUAUGUGUUUUCAGAGCUGCAAAUAAUACUGGAAAGCCCUGGAUUUGGUGGGACUAUGUAACUGAUUUUCAAAUUCGAUGCCCCAUGAAGGAGAAAAAGUACAACAAGGAAUGUGCUCAUUCUGUAAUCAAAUCACUUGGUUGGUGAUUUCUGCUGUGUAUUUUUCAUGUUGUGAAAGAUGGUGGUCGACCAUUUAUUAUGGUGUAUGGUACCUUAAUAUUUGUCUGACAUUUUGCACAGGGCUUGAUAUGGACUCGAUAGAAAAGUGUAUGGGAGACCCAGAUGCUGAUUCUGAAAAUCCUGUCCUCAAAGAAGAGCAACAAGCUCAGGUAUAUAUUCCUUCAGAAUGGAAGCAUAGUACUUUUAAAACUAAUGUUUGAAGUUCAUUGUUGGCAACUAUUAAUUUAAUACUAACAGCAAUAUCAUGCUUGAAACUAUAUUGAAUUUAGAUUGGGAAGGGAUCAAGGGGUGAUGUAACCAUAUUGCCAACUCUUGUGGUCAAUAAUCGACAGUAUCGAGGUUUGUUUUUUUGCUUAUCACCCUUGGAUAAGAUUUCGGCUGUUUCCUAAACUUAGUUUUGUUCAUGCAGGAAAGCUGGCAAAGGGUGCCGUUCUUAAGGCCAUAUGUGCAGGUUUUGAGGAAGCCACUGAACCAUCUAUUUGUUUGAGUAGUGGUAAGUUAACUUUUCUCUUCACAUGCAUAAGUUGAAUUUAUUAUUAUGUUUGUAUAGGCAAAAGUAAACUCUCAAGCGGGCUAAAAUUCAUUGCAGAUAUUGAGACAAAUGAAUGCUUGGAGAAUAAUGGUGGUUGUUGGCAGGAUAGAGCGGCCAAUCUCACAGCUUGCAAGGUAGGAAGAAAAUUAUUCAUCCACAUAUCCAGUUACUUUAUAGGUAUUUGAUAGUUUUUGUUGUCAAUGAUUAUUUUGAGUGUUCAUUCAGGAUACAUACCGUGGGAGGGUUUGCGAGUGCCCCCUGGUAGAUGGGGUGCAGCUUAAAGGAGAUGGUUACACCAUCUGUGAAGGUAAGAACGAUCUGCUUUGUCAUUUUCUUUUUCUGUAAGAAAGGUGAUAGAAAAUUAUGCCACAGUGUGGUCUCUGUUUAGUGUUUACCAUCUGUCCCAAAUUACAAGUAGCCAUUACUUUAUAAACCUACAACAUUUGCAGAGACCACUGCUUAAACCACUUGCAAGAAAAUGUCCUUUUGUGCUCCAGUCUAUUUUCACUCUGUUGGCUAUGGACUUUAUGCUGUUAAGUUUGUCACGACAUAAUAAAAGAUAUGAUUGUUAAUGUUCCUUGUAGAGAAGAUUUUUCUCAUGCGUGCAAUUAAAAUUUUCAUCCUUAACACAAGCUUAGAUUUUUCAACAAAUAUGUUUUAGUCAUGGACUUCAAGUUCUAUUUAAUCUUGUUUCUAAAUUUUAAAUGUGUACAACCUAAUAGAUCCUAAUAGAUCUUCUCUCUCUCUCUUUUGGCCUAGUAGCUAGAGGGCCUGGAAGGUGCAACGUAAAUAAUGGUGGCUGUUGGCAAGAAAGUCGUAAUGGACUUUCAAUGUCUGCUUGUGUGGUUAGUUAUCUAAACAUUUUUCUGUUGUUUUUUCCUCAUUAGGCUUGUUGGUUAUAAAUUUUCUUACUGUUGUAACAGGAUAAUGGGGAGGUUAAAUGUAAAUGUCCUCCAGGAUUUAAAGGUGAUGGUGUCAAAACAUGUGAAGGUAAACAAACUUUGAUUAUGCCAUGUUCAUGGUUUGCUAAAUUUUGGUUGUUUUUCCAAGCUUGGAGAAAGUUUGUUCUUUUUAAUGAAAUAAACAUUUCUACUCCAUGUGCUUAGGUGGUUAUCACUUAUAGCCUUGAGGGGUCUUUUACAUUUCUGUUGAUAAUAAACGGUGAUUGUGACUAGUGCAUGUUUAUAUAGUCCUAAUAUGUUGGAUACAAAAAGCCUAUUAUCCAUUUGUAUAAGGCCCCAACAAAUGAUAAUCAAUAUUAAUUCAGGAUUAAAUGACAUUACAUUGAUUUGAGCACAGGACCUCCGGCUCCAAUAACUAUGUUAAACCCCUGAUUAACCUUAAAGCUAAAUUUGAUUGGUUAUGGUAAAUUUAAUUAUGUUAACAAUUUAACAACAAAGCUGAAGAGACCUCACAACUUUACAAGAUAUGUAGGUUACUCCUAGCAAUUAGUUUUGAUUGGGAUUUUACUUCCUCUUUAUAAUUGAAGGAAAAGAAUACCAAUCCAAUAUCAAUUGAGGAAAAUUGAUACACAUGUGGUAUAAAAUCAUCAUGACAGCAUAUGUUUAUAUAUCUUCCAUUUGCAAGAAAGUGAUCCUUCGAACUAGUCCACCCCAGUGCUCUCAGUCAGAUGUUGAUAGUAACCCUUUUAAAGGAAAAGUUAAAUGUGUUGUGGUUCAACCCAUCAUUGUGCUAGGAUACUUCCUAACAAGAAUCAAGAUCUCAAUAUAUUGAUUAUAUCUAUGAAGAAAUACAAGAUAAUCCAAGUAUAAAGGAACUUGGAACCUCCCUUUGCUCUCACUCAAACCCUAGAUUAACCUAACCCUCACUCACUCAUCUUACUAUUUAUACAACAUCCCCCUUAACACUAACAUGCUAAUAUUCUUUUCUAGGUACCUAACACAUUGCUAACUAACUUUCAAGGGUAAAGAGUGAGUGACCAAUACCCUGGUUAUUAAAGAAGAAACAGAUCUAGCCGGUUAGACUUUUAGUUGACCCAAUUAGCUCAUGUUAUCAAAACUAAAUGACGAUUCUUGAUAUGAUAAUUGUUGCUAUGCAGGAAGGUUUUUUUUUUUUUUUUUUUAGUAUUGAUUUAGUGAUAAUUUUGGGAUAUUUAUCAGAUUCAUUUUCUUUUUCAUCCUUAAUACCAAAUGAGAUACUGAGCUUGACAGUAUGAAUUGAAAAGGUGAUUGCGUUUGGAAAGAAUUUACUUCCUUAAACUUCAAUGGAUCGUAUUUGCUGUUAAUAACUUCUAAACUUUUUUCAAGACUGCUUCCUGAUACCGCUUGUACUUUGUCCUUUUUCACUAAACAGAUAUUAAUGAAUGCAAGGAGAAGAAGGCUUGUCAAUGUUCUGAAUGUAGCUGCACGAAUACAUGGGGAAGCUAUGACUGUAGUUGUAGUGGUGAUCUUUUAUAUAUGAGGGACCAUGAUACCUGCAUAAGUGAGUACAUUUUGACAUGAUUCAAUUACAAGUGAUCAUAACACAUGGUUCAUUUGAAUGCAAUAAGUUCUCAAAGUUAGCAUAUUUGAGUAAUAAAUGAGAAAUAUAGCCAACACUGGACAGAUGUAAACAUUUUUUUUUUUUUGUCUUGCCAUCAUCUUGUGUAGGUAAGAAUGCUAGCGCAGCAAAAUCAUCUUGGAGUUUCUUUUGGGUUAUUUUGAUUGGCCUGGCUAUCGCUGCUGGUGGAGCAUAUAUGGUAUACAAAUACAGAUUAAGGGUAAGCUAUUUUCGACUUGGCAGCUGUUUGUAUUAUUCAUGUUCUGAAUAUAAUCGACUCUUAUACAAGGACAAGUAUUUCCUUUUUUUAUAUUAGUGACACAUUCUCUAUCAUGAUGUGAUAUUAUCUACUAUGGACCUAAAUCCUCAUGUUUUUCUUUUGGUUUUACCCAAAAGACUACGACAAAUAUUUCUUUUUCGAGUUCUCAUUUGAUUGGAUAUCCCUAUUAUAUUACUUCCAACCUUCUUUUCCACCGUUUUACUCUUCAUGAGCUCAUUCCAAGAUUGGUUAACAUUUCAUCGUAAUCUAACUCCCAAUAAUUCUAUUAUAUUCUAGCCUCCCAAACUGGCCCCUAGCUCAAUUCUUGCGUUCAUUUUCGUUUAAUAUUCCUUACCUGCAUUAAUCAUUGAUAUGAAAACGAAAAAAACCAGAACAAUCGAACAGAGCACUUCAAUGCUACUUUUACUAAAAUAGAGAGGACAGGGGAUGCUAUUUUUCAACACAACCCGUCUUGACUGCCUUCAAUUUAUUUUGUUUGUGCAGGCAUAUAUGGAUUCAGAGAUCAGAGCUAUUAUGGCACAGUAUAUGCCCCUGGACAGCCAAGGAGAAGUGCCAAAUCAUGUCCACGGGGACCGCUUGGACCGCCUGUGAAAGCACCUUACAUCCUUUCAUUUCAAGGAUUGUAGAUUCCUUUACAAAUGAAAUGGUUCGUUGUGCUCUUUAAGCCACUCGUUGAAUUUUUGAACACGGAUCUCUUGUCAGGUUUAUGUACAUUAUUAGAUAAUAAAGUAGUGCAAAUUUGAAAUCCCUCAUUGACUUGAGGUUGUAAGCUUUGUUAGCAGGUAAAGAUAGUAAUUAGGCUUUAGGUAUAUGUAUGGUUAGGGAUUUAGUUUGAAGCAUUUGAUAAAUCUGCCAACAACUUAACCUACUUCUUUUCAUGAAUACAUUUGGCUUCAUGUUGCUAUUUGUUCAUGUGAGAAGUAACAAGCUUUUACCUCAUCUUUGUAUCAAUAGAGAGGAUCAUGCUAAUCGUAGAAUAACUUCACUCGAAGCAAGACGAUAAUAAAGCUGAUGUCAAGAUCAUAGAAAAUUAGUAUUGUACGACGAAAAUAACAAAGACAGAUCAAUUUUGAUAAUAUAGUUUGAGAAGUAAAUACUGUCAAUGAUGUGCAUAAUUUCUGCUUUUCAUUUCAAAAUACAAAAGGAAAUAAAGUCUUUAAAUAGUACAAAGACACAUCAAUGUUAUAUUUUUUUCAUCAUUAGAAGUAGUAUGUAUUAACUUGACGAGAUUAAACACAUAUACUAAAACAAAACAGAGAAGUCAAAGGAAAUUAAAAGUUGUGAAUAUCCAUAUGCUGAUGUGAAGAAUGUGGUUGAAUCCUCUUUUUUUAAGCUUAUUUGUCUUUCUUUCUAUUCUAAGGAAGAUUUAAUUAUCUAAAAGAUCAAUUUUAAAUAUUUAAAAUAACAAAUGACUUAAAAAAAAUUAAAAUGUCAAAUGUUCUUUUGAUGAUGUUAUCAUCGCGUGAAAUUACACCAUUAUCUUCCUUUAUUGAUUUAGAGCGUUCUUUUUCCUUCUACUCGUCUUCUCAUCUCCUCCACGCUGUUUCUUUUUCUUCUCCGAUACCUUCUCAUUCUAAAUUGUCAUAUGCACUAUGUAGAGUUUUGGUUUAAAUUAUGCGAGAUUAUCUUGGAACUUCCUUUUUGUUUUGUAGGUGCAACCAUAUCAAUUGGGGAGUCAAAGAUGCUUGAGCCAAAAACUAAUAUCAUUUAUCCACUAAUCUCUCUAGAUUUUUAUUAAUACUAUAUCAUCUCAACCAAUAAGACAUACCAAGUAGGAACAUACUUUAAAGUUUAGUAAGAUUAUUGAUAUAAGUUUUUGGUAUCAUUCCCAAAAGCCCUUGCAAAACACUACUUAUACUACUAGAUAGCACAAGUGGCAAGUCUUGGGUCGAACCACGUGGAGUCUAAGAUAGAGUUCAUCAAAAUCAACGUUUGGGCCUUUAGCUCUGAAACAUCGUGACACUUUUUUCAAUUCUUCAAUCAUUUUCUAAUUCCAACUCAAAUUGACUCAUUUUAGUGUCGAUAUGUUCCAAAUGCUUCAUUCUACCCGUAAAAUAACCAACUAAAAGAACAUUAAACUAAGGGAAAAUAUUGAAUUAUAAGAAGGAUACAACAGAUUUGAAGUGCACUCAAUUAUUGGUUUCAUUUUGAUUUAUUUUAGAGACUAAAUAGAUGUCCCACUCUAACCCCCAAAUAACUAAUUAAAUUUAUGAUGAAACCCACAAUUCUUAACAUCUUUGUGUUACAUUAUAUAAUCAUAUAACAUGAUAAACAAUAUUAUUAUAAAUGUAGAUUGAGAGAGGAAGGUUGGAAAGUAUCAUUCACAUGCUGACUUUAUAUGGUUUGACAUAAGUUUCCUGUCAACUGAUACUAUAAAUAUGUUAUUGAAGAUUGGCAUUUAAGUAUUAUUUGACAAUUGCUUCUGAAGUACUUAUGUGAUAAGAAAAAAUACAAAUAAAAAAACUCAAAGUCAAAUAUAAACAUAAAAUAUCAAAUCAGGACUCUCUUUCUCCCCUUUUUUAAUUCAUUCUCAGAGUCCAACUAGUCGACAUAUAUACCAAAAUAAUUGAUAUUUAAUGUUGCAAUUUAUUAUAGUUCUAAUUUUCAAUAGAAGAAUGCGAAUUAUUAUUCAUUUGGUAUUUGAUAUUAUUUAGAAUGGAAAUUAAACCAUUAUGAACUUAAUUAAAUGCACUAUUUUAAAAAGAAAAAUCUAAUACAAAAUGAAGAUUAAGUUAUUAAUUAUGAUAUAUUAUUAUGGCAAUAACUGACUUUAAAAUAAGAGAGGUUUUGACUUAUAUGUAGUAGAUAUAUCUCAAUUUUGUAUUGGUUGAUAGUUGACAGUUCCAACUUUGUUUAUUGGUUUGUAUUAUCUUUGACAUUCUCAUUUGAUGUGAUAAUUAAUGAACUCCAAAGUCAAUUUUUGAGUAUAAAAACGAAAUUGAUUAUAAUCAAUGUGACAAGAACUACUUAGUUGAUCCUCUAAUUAAUGUGUGGUUAAUUAGUAUAGAAUUUGACUGAUAUUCGAAAACAAUUUCUUUGGAGUUUUGUCAUUAUUAUUGUUUUAAUUGAAAUGAAUAGGAAGUGAUUAUUUGGAUCUCAAAGCUGUUUCAUGUCGAAUUAACCCAUCAAACUAUAUAUUAGGUUGAGUUUAUGGAAUGUCACUAGAGAAAGAAAAAAAAAACUAUCAUAGGAAGAGUAAUUGCUCAAAUUAAUUAAAGAUUAGAAAAUGUUGCAUUAUAAUUCCUACUGCCAUAGUACUCUUCAUUAUUUUGCUUUAUCGAAGUAAUACAUGAUUGCGAUUACAUAUCCAACGAUAAUCUUUUUGGGAGCUUUUCUCUUCAAGAAGAGCAUAAGAUUGUUAAAUCUACUCUUUUGAGUAAUCUUGAUGGUGUCAAUAACGUGCAGGAUUUAGCUAUACAAAUAUAUAUAUAAAAAAUAUUGAAUAAUGAAUGAAAAGCAGUAAACUCCAUCUCAUAGUAUGUUAUUCAUGUAGUUAAGUUUUAUAAAUCAAAGUAAUAUAUGUUCAAAAGAUGUUAAUUCAAGCAUAGUUUAGUGAAUAGAGGACCGAUCAUGACUAUUCUAAAAUAUAUUGAUUUUGAAUUAUUAAAACAUAUAUUUUGAAGUUAUGUGUGUGUGUGUGGAACUUCAUGCAUAUAGUGUUAUGAAGUAUAACUGACAAAGAGCCGAGUUGAAGCCUUGAUAGUAUUUAACAUUAUUUAACAAGGAAAGAUGAGGUACGAUAUAGUAAGGGUAAUUGUAAUUGAUAACAAUUUGAGGAAUAACAAUUAUAGAUAUAACAAUAUUUAAAAGAAAUUGUAAAUAUAGCAAAACUAUCAGUGAUAGACUUGUAUUGUUGAUAUACUCGUACGAUCUAUCGGUGAUAGACCAAUAUUUACAACAUGGGUUAGAAGUGAUAAACUUCUAUUAUUGAUAAAAUUUGACAAAUUUUGUUAUAUUUGCACAUUUUUUAAAAUAUUGCUAUAUACUUAAUAAUUUUGAAUCUAAUUGCUAAAUAUACAACUAUCCCACGGUAGUAAUCGUAUAGAGCCUAUUGGUUCGAACCCCAAGAGACAUGUCACAUUUAAAAUAGAGUCUUUGUCGACCAAAAGGGACUAAGAAGACGGACUUCAACGACUUUUCAAAAAGUGUGCUACUUUCAAAGGGUGAAAACUAAAAAUCGGCCUUAAGUUUUUUUUUUCUUUCCCUUUUUUCCUUUUUUACUUCCUAUGUUUGGUUUUCAACUUUUAAAAAAGAGAUAGUUGCAAAUUUAGCAAUUAAAAAAUUUACAAAUAUAGCAAAAUCUGUUAAAUUCUAUCAAUGAUAAAAAACUAUAUUGUAAAUAUUGAUCUAUCACUGAUAUACCAUAUAAGUCUAUAGCGAUAGUUUUGCUAUAUUUACAAUUUUUAAAAAUAUUGUUAUAUCUUUAAUUAUUAUUUCUAAAAUGGUUAUCAAUUACACUUACCCUUUAAAAAAAACAACGGUCAUACAUGUUUGAUUAUUAUUUUUCACUUUAUUUAUAUAUAUAUAUAUAUAUCUAAAUUUAUAUUUUGGAAGCAUUUGGUGUUUGAAUAUUAAUCCAUAAACACCAAUUUGUCUCUAAAUUGCUACCUUUAUUAUUUACUUCCUACGAAUGUUUUAAAAAACCAAUCUGACUUGUUUUUGGGAAUUUGGGUUGAUGUUACCUUUUUAGUGUAUGAUAGAUGAAAAUUAUGAAAAUAAGUUAGGACGAUUAUAGAUUUAAUUUUCAACUAAAAACCAAAUUGUUAUUGAACAUGAAACUUUCUGAAUUUGGAUAAUUAGCAUUAGGAAGUCACAUUAAUCAGCAAAUGUAAGGCAUAAUCUUACAGCAUAUUUAGCACAGAAGAAGGAACAACAAUUACACAUAUUCCUUCAUAUAUGAUUAAACCUUCCUUUUGAGGCCAAAAUGAAUGAUCGAAGUCUUCAACUUUUCAUUACCAUCUUAAUUUCUUUUUCUUUCACAAGAAAAGAAAAUAAAAAGGUUAAAUUUUGAAAAGCUUAUAAAAUGGUAUCUCUAAAAUUUAUGAUUCUACAACAAAGAAAUUAUAACAGUAUAAACUAUUAUCUAUUGUGAUGCAUUGUCUUGCUUCAUCAACUUCAAGUUAAGUCCAAUGUCCAUUCCAUUGUAAGCAAUUGGUGCAUACAUCCAUAAAUCAUCCGAGCUCAACAACUGCAUGUUUCAUUCAACACAAAAGAAUAAGAACUUCAUUCAGAAAAAAGAAUUAUGAAAAUCCUUCUCUUGAAUAAUGAUUCAUUAUUCAACAAUUUACCUUGAUUUGAAGCUGCAAAAACUUCACGUAUUGAACAGCUUCUUCAAGCAUUGUACUGAUGUCAACCUGUCAGGUUUAAGAUAUAGAUACAAUAUGAGACUUUCAAACACCGAGAUGGUUCGAUAUAUGUAUGAUAUCGUACAGAAUCAACCUUACCUUUGUACCAUUUGGGACGAGGCUUUGUAAGAUUCUCAACCUUUCAUUGAUUCUUUCUCUUCUUUUCUGAAAGGAAAAUUCAAAAGAUUUACAAUCAGAUUCAAAAUUAUUAGUAAAUAUAGCACAAUGUAUGAGAAUUUGCAGAUAUAUUCAAUUUUCGAGUAUACUAGUGUGUUAGGAAAUGGAGGAAACAGGGGAGUGGUUUAGAGUUUAGAGGAUUACCCUUGCAUAGAGGCUUUGAGGGUCUGUGGCUGAGCCUCUACUGGCUCUUGGCUUUCCAUUUGAGGUUGAGCUAGAAGUGAUUCCACCAUUGUUUUCUUGAGCCUCAUUACAAUCAUCUUCAGAGCUGAAACUGCUUGUGCAUUGCCCAUUUGGACUAACAAUUUGAUCCUCUUCAUUGCAGCUACCUGAAGCAAUCUUCGAUGUCUUCCGUGCCCUCCCGCUCCUUUUUGUCUUUUCAACCUUCAUUACCACAAUGUUGUUAGAAUCAAAAAAGAAAAAGAGAAGAAACAAGCAGCCUUUAGUGCAAAUGAAAGCUUAGAAUAUAAAUCCUCACAUCAAGCAAACUUUGAGGUCUCUUCCUCGAGAAAUUCUCAACUGAAACCGGUCCAACUUUAUCAUCCCUCAUAGCUUCUUCCACCAUCACAUCAUUGGCUCUUCGUUUCGGUUGUGAGCUCUUCCCAUUGACAACAGAGUCAGCAGGGGAUUGUUGCAGCCUGCUGCAUUGCCUUGUUUUACGAAUAUUCGAACCGUUAUCGUCCAAGCAAUCGGCAUUCCGGACAUCCUCGAUGGAAAAAUCCAAGGACAAGGAAGCACCAUUAUUAGGCAACCAAAGAGUGGGGUUAGAGUCAUUGAAAGUGUAAGGAAGAUUGUUAUUGGGUUGUGAAAGGGCAUAGAUAUUGGAAGAAUCAGAAGCAUCUGAAGAAUAAUAAGAAGGUUCAUUAGAAGAAGCCCAAUAAGAAGAUGGAAUUUCCAAGCUUAAAUCUGAAUUUAACUCAUUAGGAAUACAAUAAUUGCUGAGUAAAUUAGCCAUAAAAUCAGAUUCUUCAGCAGUAUAAGCUCCACUAAGAGAUAUCCAUUCUCUUUCUGAAAUGGCACCUUCCAUAACUUGAAGAAAAGAAAAAAGGGAAUGUUUUUUUUUUUUUUUGAAUUUCUGUUUGGUACUUUGGUGUUUGAGAAAGAUGGGAUUACAAAUUUGUAAAGCUAAUUUAUAAUAAUGGUACAACAAAAAUUAAGUUGACUUCAUUUUAUUAAAAAAAUGAAUCAUCCCUCAGUUUAAUCACAUUAUGUUCUUAGUUUAAACAGAACAACCAAUGGGGAAAAACUCUAAAAAUGGGCCCAAAGACAACUCAAAAAUAAUGCUUAACCAACUGUAAUGGAUGGAAUUAAAAAAUUGAAGCUUUUUCAGUUUUCUCUAAACUAUAUAGUUAAAUUUAAUUAAUUCUUUUUCUUUUUCUGUUUUUUUAGUUCAAGAGCUAUCAGGGGAGGCUAAAAAUUAUAAACAACUUGGUUGGUGAAACUUGGUCUUAUUAGGGAGAAUUUUUUUAAAUGUUACAAAUAGUUUAUAUAGUAUAAGCUUUUCAUGAUAGAAUGAAGGAUGUUUGUUGACAAAAUGACAUCUGAUAUCUAAGAGUCAUAGAUUCCAAAAACAACUAUCUUAUACUGCCACACAUAAUAUCUCUCUUCUUUCUGAUCCCUUCUUGCAAUCCGAGUUCUUGGCUCGAAACGGGUCGAGUUAUUUCCGAGACUGAGAAAAUUUGAAGUUUAUGAGUUGGUGAUAGAUGUUGAGGAUUUUUUUGCUCCAUGAGAAGGAAAGGAAGGUGACAGUUUAAUUUCGAUUAGGUUCAUGUAGUCAUAGACUUUGUGAAGACUAAAAAACUACAAUAAUUUUGUGGGCUCUUUUGUGAUAAUGACAGAGACAUUUAUAUAUGCAUAUAUAUUGUGAAGAGUGGAAAAAGAAGAUGCCCUUUGGGAGUGUUGUUUGGCCUCAUUCUUAAGAGAGUCUUCUUUCCCAUUUGUUGAAAAAACUUGUAACUUAGUAAACUAAAAAGGUCACAAUUAAGGUAUAAUUCAUCCAUAGUUAAAUCAAAUAUAUUAUAAUUAGAAUCAAUCAAUUUUCUGUUUGUUUUAUUAGAAAAACUCUCUAAAAUUGAUACGUAUUCUUUUUCUUACAAUGGAAGGUGUAUCUAUAGACAUACAUAUAUAAACUAGAUUUUAAACAAAAACAUUAGCAGAAUAUGUUAUACACUGGAUUUUGAAUCUAACUUUGGUUAAUUUAAUUUAUCUUGUAUUGUAUAUUUUUAAUAUAAAUAUUGUGACAACUAUGUUGGCAUGCAUUAUUGGUCUGACCCUAUGAUAUAAAAUUUCAAAGUCUUGGCCUUAAUUGUGUUAAGCAAAAGAAUUAGAAAGACAAGGAAGAUUCAUCAAGUAAUUGAAUAUUAAACAAACUGAGAUUUGCUUGUUUGGAAUAUAUGCUGCUUUUGAAGAUCUCUUCAUUCUUUAGAAACAAAAAGAAAAAAGAAAGAAAAAGAAAGCCAAAGCAGCUGGAAUGAGGUGACAAAAUAUCAAUACUUUUCACUUUUGUUUCAUGAGUGGCCCCAUGCAUUUUGGACAGGAAAAUAAUUUUAAUGGAAAGAGUACAUAACAGUUACACAUAUAUAUAUAUAUCAUUGAGAUGAACUUAUAUCCACGUUAAAGAAAUUAAUGGUUAAUUGAAGCAUAUAGUUCAGUAGAUGUAUAUAAUAGCAGUUAAUACCUAAAGAUCCAUGGUUUGAUACUUUGCCUCUAUAAUUAUUUUUGAACUAUAUGUUUUGGUGUGGAAAUCACAUGUGUUCGUUGUUGUUGCAGCCUUCCACUUGGUUACUAUUUGAUCCCAUUUUGUGAGCUAAAUUGAGUGAGAGUUUAUCUCACAUCACUAAGGUUAGCAACUCUGAUGCAUAUGUUAGCAAAGUAUAGUUCAAGUAAACACACAAAAUUAAGGUCACCAUUGUUUUUAAAAGGUUUACUUACUCUUUCCCAUUUUGAGAUUGUAGAAUGGAAAAUUUUAAACUGGUUUUCCUUUGACACUAGUUUGUGGUGAUGUGUAACUAUGUCAAGAUAAUUUACAGUCUCUAGGUGUUAGAUAUAUCGAGCAUGACUUGGUUAUUAUUUUAUUAGUACAUAUCAUUGGGCUCGAGGUCGACUUGAGAUCUAAGACUUUUACGUUUUCUUUUGACAUACGUGUUUUCUCGUGUUUGUUUUUUUAUUUUUCCUUAAACUUUGGUUUGCCUUGAAAUAACCCUUGACUAGUUAAGGGAUCAAAUCUCAAAACUUCACGCUUUUAGAAUAAUUAAAAAUGUAUGGAAACAACGAGUUCUUUUUUUUUAAAAAAAGGAAAAAGAUAACUGAAUCAAGAGCUAGCAUUUGAUUAAUAAGUUGAAUAUAGCUAAAAAAACUUAGAAUCGUUAUAAAUGAUCGUUUUCCAAUUCUUAAAAACGGUUGUGAAAAUAUAUAUAUACAAAUCAAAUAUAUUUUGUAUAUGUUGUCAUCCAAUCAAAAUGGAUAUUGAAAAAUGGGUGAAUACUAUGAACACGCAUAAUGUUACGCCUACACUAUAUUGGAAAGCACAAAAAGUAACAACAUAAAGAAACACUAACACACAAAGUUGUUAACUUAGUUCAAUGCAACAAUACCUACGUCUAGGAGGUUGUACCCCUAGAUAAAAGAUGAUCACUAAUAGGAAAAUAGUUGUAUAUGUACGUAAUAAAACCAGUCAGAGAUAUAAUGUUUAAGAAGUACAUAACUUUUCACACGAAAACAAGUUUAGGCUUCCUCUAACUCUAACAUUCGUAUAGUGAGUCGAAUGAUCAAUAAUCCCCUUCAAACAAAUGCAGGUUGCAACCUGACUCACCUUCACCCUCUAAACCAAGUUCUCAACCUUGACAAAAACUUCGAUCCACGAAAAAAAACUAGUUAUUACACAUAUGUGGCCCAACCCUAACACCACCUCGUUCAAACACAUAAAUACCGAAACCAAGGCAAGGAAGGCAACUCACGGAAGAAAAUUAAAAAGCCAAGCAAUGAAUAAACCAAAUAAGGCAAGAAAUCCACAUGCAUGGCACAAAAACGAUUAAAAAGUAGAAGACAUCAUAGUCAUCAAAGAGGCUAAAAGAAAAUAUACCCGCUAACACACCACAAUAUAUACAAAAAUCUAGCCGUGUUUUGAAAGUGAGUUUGAAAUGGUUAAAUCACGCUUGUUAGAUUCAAAAUCACUCCUAAGAUAUUUUUAAUGGUUCAAAAGUGAAAAAUUAAACCUUAAAUUGGUUUUUGAAUGAUUAAAAGUAUACCACACGUCUUUAAAAAAAUGUUUCCUUUUUAGAAGUACAAGAGAAGAGUAGAGAAAAGGUUUAUGAUAGAUCUCAAGGUCUCCCACCAAACACCAUUGAUAUCUAUUCUCUUUUCAAAAACCUAUAUUUCCUAACAUAUUGAACACAAAUUCCUUUUCUUUGAUAUCUAUAUGUUUAUUGAAUAUAUAUAAGGCCGGCCGCUUGUAUAUAUAUAUAUAUAUAUAUAUAUAAACUUUGUAAAUUUGCACUUGCAUUUGUUUUUCUUUAAAAGAAAGUUGUGUAUUCUCAUGUUAUUUAAACCCAAUAAAUCAUGUUAUUUAAACCCAAUAAAUCAAAUGUAACGUAACCCUAAGCGUCUAAAAUUUAUAUAAACUUUGAUUGUUUCGAACUAAAAAAUUCAAAUGACCUAGAGAAUAAUGGAUGAUGAUAACACGAUAUCAAGACUUUGAUAUAGCUCAAACUUAAAAAUUAAAGGAUUUUUAAUUUUACUCCAAUAAUUUAUAGCUAGUGUAAUAUAGGUUGAAUGUGUGAUAGAUAUAAAUUAGUUAUAUAUAUAAAAUUCAUCUUUAAGUGAAAAUCAAAUAUCUAUCAUGCCUCAAACAAGGCCAAAAGUCUAUUAAAGAGUUAUCCAGAGCAUCACAAAAGAGAAAGAUCAAAGCGUUGGGUCAAUCGUUAUAGGUUGAUCAACUGUGAGUAAAUGAAUAUACCAAUAAAAAAUAAUUAAGCUACACUCAAUUUGAUAUCGUAUACCCUAAAACAACAAUAUCUACUUUGAAAUCGUGAAAGUUACAUGUAACCACAUAUGAGAGCAUCAUAAAUAGCUUCAUUUGAUAAGUCAGAAGAAAAAAGAAAGAGGUUAGGUUAGAGAUUAGAGUAUGGUAAGAGAGGUUGGAAGCAAGAUGAUAGGAGGAGAGUGGGGUAGGGAGCAUAAGCCCGAGGGCGAGAAUGAAGUGAGGGUGAGAUUUGUGGAGUAACUAAUGAGUAUGAAACCAAUUACUUGGGGGGGGAUAGAUUAGGUCAAAUAGAUAUUAAAAAUGUAAUAUUAAUUUAGAAAUUGAAACAGUUUGAAAUGAAUUUGGUUGAAUAGGGUUAUGUGAAAUGGGAAUUGAAUUUUUGAAAAAAGAAUAAGAAUUAGAAAUGUGCAUGCCAUCACGAUUGUUGUAGAGAUAAAAUUCAACUUGCCUUAUUGUUAAUAGCUGGCAGUUGGCACCUUCUAUUCUCUCAAUAUAUCCCCCCGACAAUCGUGUAUGAAAACGCGUUCAUUCUUCUUUUCUCUUCUCUAUAUUAUUUCUAUUUACUUCCUUUUUUCUUUUCCUUCCCCAUACUAAAUUAUUAUUCUAUUAUACACUUCUUUUUUUUAAAUAAAACUCUUACAAUAUAUUUUGGUUACAAUUCCAUUUUACAUUUUCUUCUUUCAACUAAUUUAAGUCUUAAUACUUAAGGAAAUCCAUCAAAUAAUAACAAUAAUUUUCAUUUUCAUUUUUUUUAAUUUUUAAUUUUUAAUUUUUUAUAUAUGUAUGUAAAAAAAAAAAUGCUAAUAAAACUGAUUAAUUUUAAAAUUUAUUCAUGUAAAUAAAAUUAGACCUCUAAAAUAUAAAAAAAUAAAAUGGAAUAAGAUCUAAAGUUAGGGAUAUUCUAACUUUAAAAUGUGUAUAUAUAUUUUUUAAAUAAUCGUGACAAUAUAAAGAUUAUUAUUUUUUUUCGUGUGUGUGUGUUAAAGAAAUAAUUUUGUACAUUAUUUUAUUUCAGCAAAUUAUAUGCAUGUUGUUUAUAUUUUAAUUGAUAAAUUAUGAACUCACAAAACUGUGGGGAGAAAAUCUUAUUGGAUAAUUGGAUUAUAAAACUCUUCAACUAUGGGAUUAUUAGUGGAAUUAUAUAUAUGUAAUGUUUGUGAAUGGCCAAUUAAAACAUAUAUAGUUUAUUGAAAUAAUAAAACAAUUUCAAAAUUAUUAUUUAAUAUUUUUCUCUAUUAUUGAACUAAAAAAAUCCAUCAACUCUUUCCAUUUUCUUCGUCACAUCCAUUAUAAUUAUGUUCUUUUAGUACAAAUGAAGGCGAAAGAUUUUGAACCAUAGACCUCUUCGUUCUUUUGUUAUUGAUAUCAUUUGAGUUCAACAAAAUAAGAGUUAAAAGCACAAGACUUAACGUAAUUAUCCACAAUAAAAUAAUUAUUAUAAGAGUAUAGAGUUUCUUUUAGAUUACGUGUUUAAAUUAUUUUUUAAACCUUAAAUUUUGUGUUGGAUGAUGUUUUCUUACGUUCUUGACAAAUAGUAAAAAUCUAUCGUUUCGUUACACAUAAAGUUGUAUAGUGUUUCAAAUAGGUCUCGAAUUUUGUGUAACAUAGGUCUAUAUGAAUUUUAAUAUAUAUAUAUAUAUAUCAAAUACUCGAAACAUUUUUAAGAAAGUUGGGACCAACUAACACACAAACGUAAAAGGUGUACAAUUUCUUGUUCUAAAUUCGUAAUUUGACUUAAUUGAUUAGUAGACAUUAACGUAAAAGAUGGAAAGUGAAAAUUUAGUAAAAAAUCAAAUUUAAUGUGUAAAUUUUAAAAUUAUAGGGGUCAAUUUUUUAAAAAAUAAAACUAAAAUCUAACAUAUAAAAUUGUUACAUUUUGGAACGUUGUAAGAAUAUUAAAUUUAAACUAAACUCAAAACAUAAAGGUCAAAAUGUCGCACCCCACUCUAGCAUUCUCUAUGGCUUGAGGUAGAGGUAGAGGUGUGAAGCUAGCACAUGUCGACUCUCUCACAACAUUUACUGAUCUCCUAGGCUUGACUAACUUGCUCAGCAAAACACUCUAAAAAGUUUAAUAAAUACUCAAACUUAAAAUAGUGGAAGACUUUCAAGUGAUUUGAAAAUAAACAAAACUAUAGAAGAUGUUUUUAAGAAUUGAUAUAACACAACUUGACUCAACUGGACAACUAAAAACAUUAUACAAGCCCCCAUAGAUAAAGACAAACUACAUCUUACUAAAUAAACUGGCUAACUAGCAAUAGUAUAGGUUCAGUUUUGAGAUCUCGAUCACUACUGGAAAAGGAAAACAUUUUGAAAAAAAUGAGUUGAAAGUUAACUUUAUUUUUCAGUUUUCCAAAACGAGCUUGCAUUUAUAAUAUGAAUAAAUUAUUUAUAACAAUCUUUCUUAAUACUCUAAUACUCAGUUUAGUUACCAACUCCCACUUACUAAGAACAGUAAUACUCUAAUUGAUACCGAUAACGAUAAACUAUAUGAAACUAAACACAUCGUAGUAGAAUUUAAUCAAUAUUAUCAAUUGUAUUCAUAAACUCGAAAUUUGUGUACGUGCCCAUUGUAAAUCUCAUGUGGCUGACAACUAAAUCCCUUUAGAAAUCAGGUUUUGCUUGAUUUAUGGUAAAUCUUAGAAAUAACUUGCUUAAUAUUUCAUGCUUGAUAACGAAACUUGCUCUUCUUCAACACUUUGCCAAACCUCAUUCUUUGUAAGAUACUUUUGUUUAAAUGUUUGCUUAUUUUAUCUAACUCUCAUGCUUUCUUUCAAAUUGUUUCUUAAACAUGCUUUUUUAUAUGCUUUUCAACUCAAUGUAAAACAAAAGAAUCACUCUCGAUAGUAAAACAUGUUUAAUAAUUUGAUAGAUUGUUUUCAAUACUUCACUAAAUCUGGUAUUGAAGUGUUUUUGCUAAAUCUCAUGCUUAGAAACAUAGUGUAAAUAAACCAUAUUGAUAAAAAUCGAUGCUCAAUUAACUCAAAGAUUACUUUAAACACUUUUGCUAGAAAUUCAUGCUUUCAAUAAGAACUUGAAAUCAUUAUGUGAAGACUUGCUUUAUAACUCAUUGAUCGAAAAUUAGAGAAAUUAAUCCCUAAUUAAUUAUCUUGAUUUUGAAAAAUAUCAGUGUUAAUUUAAAAUUCUCAAACAUGUAAAAAAUGACACUGCGAUGUCAUUGACAGUUGACACUACCCACACUCAUAGCUUGCUAAUGGGUAUGGUCAUUGACACUCAAACUUUCUUUCACUCCAACGUCUUUGAUCGCUUCAUCUACCUCCCACCUACCAUUGCCACACUUACUUUAGCGAUCAACUCCAAACUCGAACAACCAGGUUGGAUGCAAAACUAUUUUGUUAGAGUUAUUAUUAUGUAUUACUAUUAUUGUAAUAAAAAGAAACGUCCCAUUUUGAAAUUUAAAUCUUCUGAGGCAUGGGUGAAAAUGAUAAUAAAAACCCUUUUGGGAUCAAUCCAGGCCUCUUGGCUCUCUUCCUCUCUCCCUCUUCUUUCCCACAUCACAGCUCGCUCGCUCACUCACUCACUCACUCACUCACUAACACACAAACACUUCAAAUUCAAAAAAUCAAAUUUCAAAAUAUCAAAUUUCGAAAACUUCUUCCCUCUUCCUCUCUCUCCCUCUCUUUCGCGAACCAACUAUUCACUGUAAAAACCCUAAUUCUUCAUUUCAUCUGGCACUUCCAAAUCAAUUCCCGCUAUGACCGCCGUCCCUCCUCCCGCUGCUGGCCGGGAGCUUUCAAAUCCUCCCUCCGACGGCAUUUCCAAUCUCCGCUUCUCCAAUCACAGUGAUCACUUACUUGUUUCCUCUUGGGACAAGGUAUAUAACUUACUCUUUCCUUAACUCUCUCUCUGUUUCCUCUUCUUCUUCUUCUUCUCACCUUAUCUUUACUUUUCUUCCUUCCUAGACUGUGCGCUUGUACGACGCUAGCGCCAACGUCCUCCGCGGUGAGUUCGUACACGGUGGUCCUGUUCUCGAUUGUUGUUUCCACGAUGAUUCUUCUGGAUUUAGUGUUAGUGUUGACAACACUGUCAGGAGGUGGGUGUUUCUGUAAUUUUGUUUUCUCUCUUCCCAAAUCUUGCGGAUUUUAAAAAAAAAAAAAUUUGAAACUAGCUUCGUUUUGUUUUUAUUGCUUCAGGCUUGUUUUUAACCAUAACAAGGAGGAUAUAUUAGGGAGGCAUGAUGCACCUGUGCGGUGCGUGGAGUAUUCUUACGCUGCAGGUAUAUCUUUGUUGAGGUUUUGCUUUUUAAUUGAGUGUUCUCAAUUUUUAUUUUCUGAAGGAAGAUAGGAGUUCUGUUUCAUUAAUCAUUUGGGAAGUUUAUUACAUUACAUUAGAGUUGUGUUUUUUUAUUUAGUGGGGUUCCAAAAUAGUAAGUGAGGAUCAAAUUAAAACUUGUCACGACCGAGAACAAUGUUACGUUGGAGUGGCACCAGUUGAGUUGAUGGAUCAUUUCUUAUAUGUAAGAACACAGAAGGUUUCAAAAAUUAGUCAUUUUUAAUCGUCUUCUAUGUUAUUCAAAUGGGAGUGAAGGGAAAGGUCAGCUAGUUGUAUGAAUGGAAAAUCUAGUGAUGUUUUGACUAAGUUGUUUUAAUUCACCUUAUACGGAUGAAUUUCAAGGAGGAAUCCAUAGACUCAGUGUCUUUUUAUCUUGCCUUGUGAAACAUGGUUACUUUUAAAAUAUUGUGCAUACUACCUUCUCAAUAAAUGUGUGUUCAGUUGAAAAUGAAAGUGGAAGGGAUUUGUGAUGAUCAUUUUUGUUUUUGGAUGAUAGAGUUAUGUACUCUUUAGAGUCUAGAAUUUGAAUUUAAUUGCCUGGUUCAAAAUAUGAGUUGAAUUAUUGUUUCUAUGGUUUUUUUUUCCUCUAAAAAAAGAAAUGAUGAACUAUUCUCUCACAUUCGCUGGACUAUGGUGCCAAACUUCUUUUCAAGAAAAUAUGCCCUACACUGCAUUUUAGAUAUCAGCUAUUUAUUGUUGUUAUCUUAAUGCUGGAAAUUUGACAACGUAGGUCAAUGGUUUUCCAGGGCAAUUAAUUACUGGCGGUUGGGAUAAAACACUGAAGUGUUGGGAUCCUAGAGGGGCAAGUGGGCAGGAACAUACUCUCGUUGGAACAUAUCCUCAGCCUGAACGUGUUUACUCACUCUCUCUUGUGGGUAACCGUUUAGUUGUUGCAACUGCUGGAAGGCAUGUUAAUGUAUAUGACUUGAGAAAUAUGUCUCAGCCCGAGCAAAGGAGGGAAUCCUCGUUGAAGUAUCAGACUCGAUGUGUGCGUUGUUAUCCAAAUGGAACUGGUAAUUAUCUAACCUUUGAAAUGACAUUGUUGAUUAAUGAACCAUUUUUCUUCUUGUUAAACGGCCAUGUAAUUCUCUGUGUUGUUCAUAUGUGUAGUUUUGGUUGAACCUCCUGUUACAUUCUCUGUUCCCUUACCUAAUGCUUACUGGAAAAAGUUUUCUAGUUGCAUAGUUUGAAUUUUGAGGGUAGCACCUUAAAUCUUUUUUUAAGUCUGGAGAUGUUUCAUUCAUAAGGCCUCAUUCUACUAUAAUUUCUAGUAAAUUAAAACCACACUGUACGUAAUCAAUAUCAUGGCUUUGGUGCUGCAAUAAUGUAUGAAUUUAUAAUAUCUCUUUUGUGAAUGCAGGAUAUGCUCUUAGUUCAGUUGAAGGACGAGUUGCCAUGGAAUUUUUUGAUCCCUCAGAGGCUAGUCAAGCCAAAAAGUAGGUGUUAGUUAAAUAAUAACAAGAAUAGUUUUAAAUUGUAUUUUUUAUUCUUUUAUAUUUGAUGCAUUCUCUGUAAUAUUAAAUAUUUUAAAUUUCUUACAUCUAUACGCUUGAGCAGAAUGAAUAUCCAGAGUUUGAUAUAUUAUUCUUUCCUUGUCCCAGCUCUGAUUCACUAUCAGCUAUUUUUCCUUUAUCAUUAGUCUUUGAGCUGUAAUUAUUUGUCUGUGAUUUUGUCUUUUUGUAGGUAUGCAUUCAAAUGUCACAGAAAAUCAGAGGCUGGAAGGGACAUAGUCUAUCCAGUCAAUGCCAUUGCAUUCCAUCCUAUGUGAGUUUAUGGUUUAUUUUGAGUAAUUGAUAUAGCUUGAGUGAGCAUGUAUAGGCAUUAUAUUGCGCUAAGAGUGUGCUGGUGCAGUGUAGCAGGUGUUGUGGUUUUGGUUUCCACUCCCUUGUUCAAUGAAAGCGUCUCUUAGAAAAAGGGGCAAACAAUGUCACAUUUAGUUUCUGUUGCUACAUAUUUUGACUAGGAAAUAAUUUUACUAUGUUAGUCUUGUGCUUCAAAUUAAUGGAUUGUAUGCUAAAGAAGUUUUAACACGAAGAACCUUUUACCUUGUUACCAUAUUUUGAUCAAUGAUCUGUUUGGCAUCUGUUAUUUCCAUGCUGCAGCUACGGUACUUUUGCUACUGGAGGCUGUGAUGGGUACGUAAAUGUAUGGGAUGGAAACAAUAAGAAGAGGCUUUAUCAGGCAAGAUUUUUUGACCAUGUGCUAGUACUUUUGCUUCUGUCGACAACCAGUACGUUUCUUAAAAUUCUCCUUUUAUUACUCCAUCUCAGUAUUCAAAAUAUCCAACAAGUGUUGCGGCACUGUCAUUUAGUAGAGAUGGGCGGCUGUUAGCUGUAGCCUCAAGUUACACAUUUGAAGAGGGAGAUAAACCGUAUGUUCUCUCUCUUUGACACUCCCAUACACUAAUACAUUUAACAACUUUCUCAUCACUUUUUGCAACUUUUUUUAUUUUGUAGCCAUGAGCCCGAUGCCAUAUAUGUCCGCAGUGUAAAUGAAAUAGAAGUUAAGCCAAAGCCUAAAGUAUACCCCAAUCCUCCUACAUGAUUAACAUCACAGAAACCUCCCCUGUGAUCCAUGCUUGUCGAUUUUAGCCCUCUGUUGGUUUUCAUGCUAGAGUUACUUCAUGGUGGUUUAGAGCCAAGGUCCCAGGUGACUUGCAGAUUGCGCAGUUAGCAUCAUACAAAAGAGUCCACGAGACCUGCUUCUUUAUUUUUUUAUUUUCUUUCUUUGAAAACUUCUGUUUUGUAUUCCUGGCGAGAUGAGAGAAACAUAGCCUUGAAUUUUGGGAUGUACCCAUCAGUAGUGUGCUUAAUGUGUACAGAUGCUGUGCUUCUAUAAACUUUCCUCAAUUGUUGUUAAGGAUAUGGAUAAAACACUUAUAUUUAUCACACUUUUGCCCUUCCAACAAGUUUUCUUGAUUUAGCCUAGCAUGUUUGUAAACUUCAGUUCACAGAGAACCUAAAUGAAAAACAGAUUUUCAUGGUGUGUUGAAUGAGUGGUUUGGUCAUAUUCCUUGAAAAUAAAUUAGAUAAUAUUCAGACCUUUGGUCCUUAAUCCAUCAUACUAAUCUUCUUGGUUUAAGUUCUAGUUUGGUACAUAAUUUAUUUAGUUUGAUACUAAAGUUUGUUUUAUACCAUUUAAUGUAGACCUAACUUGGCUUGUUGGAUUUUUGUGUAGACAAAUGGUUGGAAGUUUAGAGACUAUAAUUAGACAUUGCUUUUGUUAUUAGAUAAAAUAUUGUAUGCAUCGAAGUCUAAGAAAAAUUUGUUUAGUAAGUUUGAUUCUAAUUUAAAUUUCAUGAUGAAAUUUUGGAACCAAUGCUGUAACUUGCCUUGCUAUUGAUUCAAGGUUGAAAUUCCAUCCAACCACUAAAUUUAAAGAGAAUAUUACAAAGUUUAAGCUACCCAUGAAUGAUUCAGCUUUGUAGUGUUUGGUCUUGCUAUCAUUAUUUGCUUUUUUUCUCUCCUAUAGAUAGAGAGAGAAAGUGGAGGGUGUGAAUUGGGUGAAGAUUUAAGUAAGAAUGGGGCCAAGAAGCUUUUCAAGCAUGCAAAGACAUCAUACAUGGCAAUAAUUGGGCAACAUCCAAAAGGUCAGCAUAGAUUUUUUUUUUUUGCAUGGUUUCUCAUAUCUUCUCAUUUCUAUGGUUUAAGCACUCUGACACAUACAAAGUGACAUAUUUUGGUUUCCAAUUAAAUUUGCACAGACAAAAUGCUUCCCUUCCCAACCCCACCUUGUCAUUACAAAUUUCCCUUUCCCUACCUUAAAAAAGCAAACAAUCAAACAAUAUAAUCACUUUCCUUUUCUCCUUAUCUUGUCCCAAAUUUGCCGUAUCCCAGUCCCCUACAUAUUUCAAACAUCUGUUGCCAAGAAGUUCCCUCUCCUUUCCUUUGCAUCUUGUGCACUUUCACUUUCCCAGGAAACAAACAAAUUCAUGAAACAAUCUGGAUUCAAUUUCUCAAUGAUAAAAGGUUUUUCAAGUAUCACGGAAUCCUUGAAAACUCCCCCACCCACUUUUCAAGCAAAAUUGAUCACUCACGUUUGUAGUAGUGCAACUAAAAUACCCUGAGUUUAAUUCAUGGUGACCACCUAUCUAAGAUUUAAUAUCAUGCUCCAACAUGUUUAUUUGACACUCAUGUUUUUUUAGUAUCAAACAAGUUAUUCUAUAGUCGAAAUACACGUUAGUUUGGUGGGACACUCACAAAUAUAAUGCAAGUGAAUUUAUAAGUCGAUUGAUCAUAGCUAGAAAAACUAAAAAAGAAAUAAAAUGACGGGUGCUUAGAUCACCAAUUAUUUGGAAUCUCAAAAACUUGAACUUCUGAUUUAAUCCGUGAUGGGAUUUAUGAAGUGUUUAUUUUCUCCUUGUAUUGUACAAUAUAUAAUACUACUAAAAAAUGGAUUUAGAGUACAACCAUUGAUCGUAUGAUUUUAAUAAUAUUGAUUAGCUCAUGUGAUUGUUCUGGAUCAUGUAGUGAACAUACCACACACUCAAUGGCUGUCAUGAUUCAACGAAGUUGUGGGUUUCAGAACUUUGUGUUAAAUAUGUAGGCAAAUGCAUUAUUAGAAGUACACUAUAAAUGUCAAUUUUGUUGCAGCCUUAGGAAUUAGUGGCCAUGUGCUUUUUGUUAUGAAAUCGAAGUUGAGAAAAAAUAUAUAAUAUAUAUGAAAAAAUGUACUGAAUUUGAUAAAAAUUAAAGAAGAAUAUUUUGGAUUUGAAGCUCCCAAUUGAUCUGAGAUUAUUGUUAACUUGUCUCCCAUGAAUUUGCCUCAUUUUCACUGAUUUUGUAGUGCCAGACAAUGCAGGAAGUAGUAGUAGAUGUGAUUCCCCUUGAAAUAAGGGAUUGAUUAAUUUCAGCCACUAGAUGGAGUUAGAUAUCAAUUAUUAUUCAUGUAGGUACGUUGUAAAAACUGUAUCCAUAAUCUUAUUUCAUUCCUCGAUCAAACUUCAAUCGCAAACGCAGUUGGAUUGGUUUUGUUUACAUUUACUUGUGCAUUUUGCAAACAUAGAUUGUUUACUUUGCAUUGUUUGUUAUUAUUAUCUUCGAAUGUGAUAGUAAUGUAGCAGAUUCAUACUUGAAAAUUUUAAAACGUAGUUGGAUUGUGUUAGUUUGUUUCGAAUUUGACUAUAGAUCCCACAUCUCAGUACCACUAGGCAAGUAACCAUUAAUAAGCAUAUAAAAGGAAAUUCACUUAGCUUCUUAGUUAAUAAAAUAAGAGUGGUUGAAGCAAUUAGUCAUAAGGGCCAUGUUGUAGUAGCUUGGAAGGAAGUGUCCUAAAUGUCAAAGAAUAAGAAGGAAUGGUAAAUUUGUAGAUGAUGAAUCGCUGUUCUCAUCACAUGGCAUAGAUUACACAAAUCUUAUUAAUUGAAGUAAUUAAGUGGGAAAACCAAUAAUAAAAUAUUGACUCAUUGCUAACCACCAAACCAACGGUUUAGAAAAAAUAUAUAUAUUUAUAUAUACAAAAUAUUAAAAAUUCAAACUCCCUAAACAGAAUUAAAAAUAAUCCGCCUCGGGAAGAUUUGAAAAUCUUUAAACUUUUUAGUUAAAAUACAUGUUUUAUGUCCGUUGAAUUAUAUGUUUAUGUUUGACGAACUGAGUGGGUUAAGAGAUUCUCGUAUUUUUUGUUUUUUCUUUUCUAGAUGAAAUCGACAAUUUUUUCUUUAUUUAGUUGGUUGGUUCUACUAACCAUCGAUGUAACUAGUGAGUCUACAAGUUCAUCUCUUCUUCAAAAUCGACACUGACCGAUUGAUACUCACUUCAAUGUUCGUCACAAGUAGGUUAUUUGAUAGCGAGGUUAUAACAUUGAGAUAUUCUUAAAGAAUAUCCCAAAAGGUUUGAUUAAAAAAAAUAGCAUAUCCUUUUGUUUUGGUAACCCUAAUUAAGGCGUUGACUCUCUUUAGUCUCUCUCUCAAUCUCAUGAAAGAGUUUAAAGCAACAGAAGUUGAAACAAAAUCUCUCUCUUUUUGAGCUUAAAGAGAGAGAGAGAGAGUUUGAAGAGAUGAAGGAAUCUUUAGAGUUUAAUAUUUAGUUUAUAAAGAUAACAAUGUUUGUACAGUCAGCCCCAUGUGCUAAUUAACCCUUUAAAAUCUUUUGGGUUCCUCAAUGAAUUAACCUAAAUAUGUUAUGUUACUAACUCACCUCUUUCCUUUCAGUUUCCUUCUCUCUCUCUCUCUCUCUCUCUCUGUUUAUAUAUAUAUUUGAAUAAAGUACUCACUCUCUCUAUCAGAAUGAUAAACAAAUGUAAAAAGUUAUUCACAAAGAUUAUGAUGCUAUAAUUGAGACUCUUGUUUUCAGUUUUUUUAGAAGAUAUGAUUUUAAAGAAAUAGAAUCAACAAUCUCACAAGUGUAAUAGUCACUUCCAAAUCGAGUCAAACCCAGUAGCUGUCAAUAAAUAAACGUUGUUUCAUCAAAUCAACACCUACUUUAUGCACCUCAUUAAGUUGUGUGGCUAUAGUUUCUCAUGUGACAAAUCUUUCAUGUUUUUCAAUAAAUAUUUUAAUUCAUUUGGCAAGAAAAUGCAUUCAAGUAUUACUCUAUCUAUAGUUAAAUUGAAUCCUUAAUUCAAAUUAUGUAUAUUAUACUCGACCAUGAUUUUUCUUAUUCUAUUUAUUGUUUUAAGAUAGUAUAAAGAUUUGAAUUUAUCAACAAGGGAAUGAAUAUAUAUCUAUUAGAACCAAGAUGUAGUCAUGUAGAAAGAAAGAAGCAUCUACCCACUGCAAUAUUUACCCUGGUAUGUAUAUUUGUAAACAAUGUUAGAUUAAACAACUCCUUCAGCAAUGGGCAUUAGAUAAUUAAAAAUAGAAAUCUGUCAUUUGGUAUAUGUUGAUGUUGAUGUUGAAUAAGAAUUACUAUAUUUGGUUAAAUACAAGAAAGUAGUCAUUUUCUUACUUAUGUCUGCCAUGUGUUCCAAUAUUGUCAUAAUACAUAAUGGCUUCAAAUUUUCCUUUUUCUCUUCUUUUCUUGGGAAAGAUAAUAAAUAAGAACAAUUGAGAAAGUGAACAGAUCUUCACCCAAGAAAAAUCCAAAAUUUCAAUAAUUUUUCUAAACUCUUUUCAUUAUGGAGAGGUGAAAAGGAAAGAGAAAUAAGAGAGUUUUGUUGCAAAAGGACAAUGAGUUAAGCAACCCCAAGCAAAGGGGGGGGAAAAUGAAGACUGUUGAAAUGCCUCAGUAUUAGUAUUACCUCAAAAAUUGAAUAAUGUGUUACAAGUAAUAGUACUAGCAGCAACAUAUAUUUUAUUACCACAACUUUGUUAAUUUGUUUAAGCAACAUGGGUGUCCUUUCCUUUGUUCUCUAUUGGGUUCUGCCCUUCUCAACCAUUCUCUUUUCUCAAAGCUUCAACAGUUUCUUACUUCAGUGGUAAAACCCCCCCAAAAAAAUGAUCAUUUUAGGAGAGGGCUUGUUUGUUUUCUCGUUUGCUUCAAAAUUAUGUUAUAUUGUUUGCUUCUCUUGAAAGGUUUCAUCUUUUUCAAAAGGUUUUGAUUUUGUGGCUAAGAAAAAAGCACUAUUUACAUUGGCAUUUGUAAAUCGCAAAUUGCCAUUUUAGUAUCUUUGGUUUACUUUAUAUUGGGUUGUGUUGUGAUUUACACGGGGAGUUGCUUAUGGGGAGGUUGUCUUCUUGUUUCCCAUUUUGAUUAAGAACCAAUUUUUUCAUGUGGGUUUAUUGAGUUACAGACUAUUCGUAAUUAAAAAUUUGAUCUUGAUGAUUCUUGACCAAAUAUUUUAAGCUAGAUUUUCCAUAUGAUAUGUAUAUAUAUUCUAGUAGAUUCCUUGGAUUUUCAUAGCAAUUUUUAUACAGAUUUGGUUGUUGGGUAGUUGAUGUUUGAUUCAUCGAUACUGUUAAAUCACAUCUCUUUUUAUGAUCUUGCUCAUAUUCUCUCAUUACUUUUUAACAAAAUAAAAAAGAGAAGAUACUUGUUGUCUACCGUUUUGGUGGUUUAAUUUAACUGAUACCAAGAUGCUGUUUUUCUGGGUUAUAGUAGUAGUAGUACCUAUUGAAAGAAACCCCAUCGGAACAAAAUAUUAUAUUAUUAGAUGAUUUUGAAGUAAUAGUAGCAAAGCAUAGAACAGCAUUUGUUGGGUUUUGCAAUUUGAAAGCUUUUAAAAAAGGGAAGGGAUUUUAAAAAGAGGAGAAAAACAGAGGGACAGAGUUUAAAUCAGAAAUGAAAAAGAAGAAAGAGAGGAGGGUUUUGUGAUUUGGAGAGUCAGAUUUGCAAAUUUUUUAGUGUUUUUUUGAAGUGUGUUGGCUAUGUCUCCACAGCUGACUUGCUGACCCGGGCUCCGUGGGCUUUGCCGCCGACCAAGGAAACAGCCACUUUCUCUUAAACCCUCUUCCCAUUUAAGACCAAUCUCUUUUCUUUUCUCCCUUCUUUAAAAAUUUCAUUAACCCCUCUCCCCAUUUCCUCUUCUUUCUCUCUUACUAAGCUUUUCCUUUGGUUUUUCUCUGAAGAUUCCCCCACAACCUUCUUUCAAAUCCUCUUUUCUCAUUUCUCUAUGGUUCUUCAUUGGGGAUUCUGCUGUUUGCUGAAGUUUUGAGCUCAUCUUUUGGUGUUAUUUGUUGUUUGAGUAUUGAGGAAGAGCUUUUUUUUUGGGGAGGGGUGAUUGAGUAAACUUGAAGGUUAUUUCUUGGUUGUCAAGAUGAAGUUCAUGAAACUUGGAUCAAAACCUGAUUGUUUUCAAACUGAUGGGACCAAUGUUAGGUGAGAGAUCUCUUCUGCUUUCUUCAUUUACUCUGAUUCUCAUUCUUGUCAUAUUUUGUUUUGCUUUUUUGGCUUCUUGCAUUUCAAGUUGUGGCAGUUUCAUUGUAAUGACAUUUUACUUCGCUCCUUUUUUACUCUUUUACACUGUAAAACUCACUCCCACCUCACCGGAAACCACCGCUUACCGGCGGUGAGUUGGGGGAUCAACUAGAUAUUGCUGUUUUAAAAAGAAAUGGUCAAGUGGGAGAAAAGGGUGAUCGUGAAUAUUGAAGCUUUGGUUUUGUCAUUCACUUUUCUCUUUUUCAGAAUAACUGGCAAAAGCUUUUUCAAGUUCAUUUCCUUUUACUUCUUUCUAUGAUGGUUUAAUGGUUAAAUUUUUCACUUUUGCUCUCCCACCAAGUCACUGACUGGGUUCAUGACUGGGGCUUCUGAUAUAUAUUUUUUUUUCUUUUUUAGUGGACGGAUUUGAGUUCUCUUUUGCUUUGAUUGUGUGACAAGCCUAACUGCUUCUUGCUUUUCUAGUGUGAGACAGUCAUCAAAUUAAAAUUAAUAUAUGCAUCUCUGCUUUUCCUUUCCCUUGCUCUUAUUGGCUUUCAUUUAGAUGUAAACCUUUUCUUGAUUCACAAGGAGGGUCCAAACGUUAUUCAAUGGAUGAGUAUUGCUAUCAAACAUGGUUUGAUGUUGCAGGGUUAAGUAUCGAUUCAUAGGAUCUUCAGAAAAAUAGGAAUGUCUUAGGAAUAAGAACAGUGUAAAUAAGUUAAAAUUACUGAUGUUUUCAUAGGACAAAGCUAAAUAUCUUAAACACAAUUCAAAUGAUCAAAUACAUACUUUUUUCUUAUUUCAAAAAGAAAUACUAUUAUAAGAAUGUGACAUAAGUGUUGAGCAGUUAUUCUUACCAAACCCGGGUAAAACAGUUCAUAGAUUAUAGUUAUGUUUUUCGACUGCUUCAUCAGUUUAUACACACGUCGGAAAGAGAACAUAGAGAAUUGAGAUACCUGAUUACAUUUGAGAGAGCUACAUAGCUCAUUAAUGCUCAAAUGUUUAUUACAUGUACAUCAAGUUUCCAAGUAGAAUUAGAAAGUUGCUUACCAAACUAUGAAGCUAUUGCUUAUCAUUCUUUGGGGAAGGGAUCGCAUCACAUACGAUGGAAUUAAGUUCGAACGACUUUGAACUCGGUUGAAUGACCACACAUUAGAAAGAUGCUUUGAAAAAGACCUGGAAUCGUGAGCGAAAUAGCAUAUUUAUAUGCUGUGCCUCGAAUGGGUCAAGAGCAUGAAUUUAGUAGUAGGGAGAUUCCACAUUUUAACCAAGAUGGUAUUGAAUGUUCUUUUAACUCAAGAAUCACCUUUUUUUCUCUGUCUCUUAUGGGAACAAUAAGAAUCUUGCCACAAUGGAAUGUUGAAUAAUGGUUGUGCAUGUUCUUUGGUACAAUUGUCUACAUACACCUUUCUUCACUUCUUUUUAAAGCUUCAUUGCACGAGAAUUUUCUGUAGUGGAUGGAUGGUUCACUCUGAUGUAUAGUAGUUUCUUCUUUUGGAUUUGGAUGAAAUCUACUGCUACCUAUUACUAGCACGUUUUUAAAGCUUAAACAAAGUGUGGGCGUUGCCCGUUGCACUAAAAUUUUAGAAUUAACAUUUGAAUCUUAUAUGGUAGAAAUCAGAGUUAAUAGGGAAGUGAUACUCAAAUGAAACAAUCAGACAACUUUCUCAUUAUUUUAUUAAAAGAAUUCACAUUUAUGUUGCAGGUAUGUUGUCAGUGAAUUAGCUACGGACAUCACUGUUAUCGUUGGGGAUGUCAAGUUUUACCUCCACAAGGUGUGCCACUUAAUUUGAUUGCUCCUAUACGAAAGCGAACACACAAGUUCAGCAGGCUAACAUUUAAUAUAACACAUUAUUAUAAUAUGAGUAUCUUUAUGUUCAAAUCAAACUUGUAGUCAAUAAUACUGAUUUACUAUAAUCUCUUUUAAAAGCUGGCUUCUUUUAUGCAUCUUGACAUCUAGUUAUUCCUUACAUAUGGGUUAGUUGUACUGAUAAAUUGGUAGUACCUGCUUUUUUGCAGUUUCCCCUUCUGUCAAAGAGUGCUCACUUGCAGCAGUUGGUCACUGCGGGCACUGGGGAGCACAAUGAUGAAGUAUACAUUCCAGAGAUCCCAGGCGGUUCUGCGGCAUUUGAGAUAUGUGCCAAAUUCUGUUACGGCAUGACUGUUACUCUUAAUGCUUAUAAUGUAGUUGCAGCUCGUUGUGCUGCUGAAUACCUAGGAAUGCACGAGACAAUAGAAAAGGGAAACCUAACCUACAAAAUUGAUGUUUUCCUUAGUUCGAGUAUCUUUCGUAGCUGGAAGGAUUCAAUCAUUGUUCUUCAGUCUACAAAGUCACUAAUGCCAUUAUCUGAGGAACUGAAAUUGGUUAGCAAUUGCUUAGAAUCUAUUGCUGUGAAGGCCUCUGCUGAUAUUUCUAAAGUUGACUGGUCUUACACAUAUAACCGUAAGAAACUACCCGAGGAAAAUGGGAACAAUCCCAACUGGAAUGGUGUCAGGAAUCGUAGUGUGCCAAAGGACUGGUGGGUUGAGGAUCUUUGUGAGCUAGAAAUUGAUGUAUAUAAGCGUGUUAUAGUGAGUAUAAAAAACAAAGGAGUAGUCCCUAACGAUGUGAUUGGAGAAGCCUUAAAGGCUUAUGCUUACCGCUAUCUUCCAGGCUUUAGCAAAGGUGUGCUUCAAUGUGGGGAUCCGCUGAAGUAUCAGUCGGCAGUGUCCACAAUCGUCUGGCUGUUACCUGCUGAGAAAGGCAGUGUUUCCAGUAGUUUCUUGUCCAAAUUGCUGAAAGCUUCCAUUUUCCUAGCUUUUGGAGAUGAGACCAAAGACGAGCUCGUUCGACGAAUGGGACAACAGCUAGAGGAGGCUUCAGUGAGUGAUCUCUUGAUCCGAUCACCAGAAGGUGAAGCUAUGACCUAUGAUGUUAAUGCUGUACAGAAAAUGGUGGAGGUGUUUCUGUUGCAAGAUCAUAAUAGUGAAAUCGAGUCACUUGAAGAGGGAAAUGAGAUUCAGGAGCCAAGAGGGCCAGGGAUUUUGUCUGACGCUACUAAGUUGAUGGUGGCAAAAUUGAUAGAUGGUUAUCUUGCUGAGGUUGCAAAGGAUCCCAACCUACCAUCAGUAAAGUUCAUUGAUCUUGCAGAAAUGGUAUCUGGCAUCACUCGGCCUUCACAUGACGGGCUCUAUCGAGCCAUAGACAUGUAUCUAAAGGUACCAGUUCCUUAACUUCAACCUACUUGUCUUUCCACCUUGCUCAAAUCACAUAUGCACUCAAUUUAAUAUUGUUGGACUGAUUUACAGGAACAUCCAGGGAUCGGCAAGAGCGAUAAGAAGAGAAUCUGCAAACUGAUAGACUGCAAGAAACUAUCUGCUGAUGCAUGCAUUCAUGCGGUACAAAAUGAACGGCUUCCUCUACGUAUGGUUGUGCAGGUAUUAUUUUUCGAGCAAGUCAGAGCCUCAGCAUCAUCAGGCAGCAGCACUCCCGACCUACCUAAAGCCAUCAAGGAUCUUACAAGUGGAUCUCACAGCAGCUCAAGAUCAGCCACGACGAACCCCGAAGAAGAUUGGGAUGCCGUCGCCAUGGCUGAGGAGCUGAAGGCCCUCAAAGGGGAGCUAGCUUCCUUGAGGCUUGCUAAUGGUAGAGGAAGUAGUGAAAGAAAUGGGGAUGGUAAAAAUGGAAUUGACAAAGCAGCUCUUAGUAAAAUGAAAGGAUUGCUCAAAUCAAAGAAGCUUUUCACAAAGCUAUGGUCAAGCAAAGGAGGAGGAUACGGCGAAAACAGCGGGUCAGAUUCAUCAGAGAGCCUCGGUUCUGCUAAUCAGGAGGAAGCUAAGUCAACACCUUCAAGGAACAGAAGGCAUUCAGUUUCUUAGAAAGGUUCCAUUUUGGAGUGUUUAGUGAGUUGGGUGAACUCAUGAGUGGUUAAAAUGAGCAAGAAUGAAGUAUAUAUAGGUUAAGAGUCUGUAGUGUAUAUCAGUUAUUGCAGCAUUAUUACUAUUGAAGGGCAGUACCCAACCAAACAACAGCAAAAACAAAAACAAAAAAUGGAAAAAAAAGUUAUAUAUUAAAAAUAUGAGAUCUUUUUUCUUGUAUGGGGGGUUGUUUAAGUUAACUGAGAUUUGUUCACAAUGUUGAAAUCCCAUCAAAGAUGGAUGAGAAUCAUUCUCUAAUAUUGUUGAGGUGAAUCAAAUAAAGAUUGUCUUUGCCUAUAGGAGCAUUUUGAAUUAGCCUAUUGCCCCUCUUGUCUCCCAAAGAUGGUCGUAGGUUAGGUUUUUUGGUUGCAAAGAAUUUAUUCAGAUUUCUUAAGUUUUUUGCAUUGCUCUUAAAAGAAAAAGAAAAGGAAAGUCCUUGAUUGGAAGAAUCACAUAAAUAUCCAAUUGGGAUGCCAAGUUCUUUUUCCAUAUUAUAUGAACUUCAACCCAUUCAGAAAAUUUUGGUUUCUUUUACAUAUCAACAAUAGUAUAUGCCUAUAUGAAUUGUAUUAGUAACAUCUAAGAUGGUAAUUGACACUUUUAAUGUAAGACUUCUUUACUUUUAAUAAAUUUUAAUUAUGAUACAAAUUAGAAAUUACAUUUUUCUUUUCCCUUUUUUGUUUAGAUGUUUGAACCGAAAUUGAAACUAUACUAUUUGUUAUUUACUCUACCCUCUUAUGUCCUUUCAUUAGUAAUGUAUUUUCAAGAAGCCUUUAAGUUCAUAACUUUAAAAGAUUGUUAAAGAAACUAAGAAUAUCAUGUUAAUCUCAAUAUUUAAAAUAUUUAACUCCAGUCUCUAUACUUUAAAAUACUUAAUUUUAAUCUUUAAGAGUCACCUGUUAGUUUAAUGUUAAUUUUAAACUUACCCCUAAGAAACAUCUACAAGAAUUCCAUACGAAUCUUAUGAACACAUUCACAUAACCAAAUUAUAACAUUGUUAUUAACAAAUUUCAAAAGAAACUUUGUAUCCAUCUUCUGCCCUAUAUUAAAAAUAGGCAGUAAAAUGAAAACUUUUACAUCUUACACAUCACAAAAAUGACAUUACAGAUUACACCCUGAAAUUCAUAGAUACAACCUUCACAAAUAAACAGCCCCUUAGAUUUAUAACUACAAAGGUUUAAGAUAACGAAUUUUAGCUUUCCAUUUUCCAGAUAAAUUGAAGCAUGUACAUGAAUAUGUUUGUUUAAUACACAUAUAUAGCAACUAAAUAUGUUAUUACUUAGUAUUAAAAUUCAAUAAAAGAGAUAUACUGAAUCUACAUCUUAUAAAAAAUUAUUCGCAUUCCUUGCUACUUCAACUUCAUUGAAAGAGUACAUUAAAGAUCUAUGUAACAUACUAUGUAUUUUUUCAACCGUAUGGUAUUAAUGGAUAAAGUGGGAAAUGAUACUUCUAACUUUAAGGCUCAUGUGCUCAACUACGCUCCAAAAAAGAAUUUAGAGACUAAAGGAAAUAAAACACUAUCUCGUAAUUAUUUUCACUACAAUCACAAACUGAUUAACGAUACCAUAUAGCCUAAACCCUCCGAAUCCUAAACUGACUAGGCAUCACGCACAUCAAACAGGCUUAAGAACUGAAAAAUAAUAAUGGAAGGAAUAUAUGUCAAAAUAAUCUCAAGAAGCUCAAUUAAGAAACUUUAAAUGUUCAGAACAAAAGUGUCAAAAACGUCUUCUGACAAUCAUUUCAUAUUCCAUACUGAGUAAACAAAAGCAAAACAUGGGAAACCUUCUUCAAUGUAAAUUCAACCCAUUCUCUCUUCUAGGGAUAAUUAGCUUCUUAGCGGUACUGCACAAAUGGGAAAGUUCAAAGUUUAGAGAAUGUAGAAGAUAAAUCUGUGUGUGUAUGUGACAUCAAAUAAAUGAUGAUAACACAAAAUUAACUUGCCUUGAUGAAACCAAUUUCCUUGGCAUUGCUGCGGAAGCAUUGUCUGCAACACAUAAGUCCAUACUUCCUGAUCAACCCAUGGGGAUUUCCGCACACACGACUGAGAAGAGGAUUCAAAGAAAGGAGCUAUUGAAUUUCAGCUUUCUCAAAAGUCAACAAAUACUAUAGACAACCUUUAACCACCAAGGCCUCAUUUCCUAGCCAUUAGGUCUUUUUUUAAAAAAAAAAAAAAUUGAGCCUACAAACACUACUUCAAAUUUAAAUUUCUUGUUAUGUUAUUUACUUUUAACCAAUGAUUUAAAAAACCAAGCCAAAAUUUGAAAACCAAAAAAAAAAAUAGUUACUAAAAAUUUGGCUAAAUAUUCAACUAUUUUCCACACCAAGGUAAGCAAAAGUGGGAGGAAAUCUGCUUAAUUUGCAAAAUCCAAAAACCAAAAACAAAAAGGCUACCGAAUGAAGCCUAAGAGAUCCAUUAAGGAUAAAAAUGUGUUCCAUUACUCUUAGGUAGACUCAAUAACUUCUGGGUAACCGACAAAAAUUGAUCUAAUAGACGUAGGAACUAAAAAAACUCAACCAAGCAAAGUGAUUCAUUCGGAUUAAAGGAGAGAAGGAUAAAAUACGCAUAAAGUAUAAAGAUUUUCUCGCCUACUACAGAUCCCAUACAUCACAUAACAUCAGCUAUAACCUUUCAUCCGCCUUAACAAAACCAUGACAUAAUCGAUCGAUAUGUAAAUCCGGGUUCAAAUUAUAAAUCUUCUGCAAUUAGCGAAGCCUUUUACAACGCGAUAACAGAAACCCCAAAAGUCAACACAAACUUUUAAGCAUCACAAAAUCGAAUCCAAGUUGGAAAAACCUUUAGAACAACAGAUUAAACUUAAAGCCAUGUUAAAAUAUUAAAAAUCGAACUGAAACGUAGGUAUCUGGUUAUCUAUCAAAACAAGAAAAGUAAUACAUAAUAAAUAAAUCUUCAAUCAAACAAUAUUCUUCAGGUCCCAUUACGAAGCGCGCAAAGUUAAUAUGAGCUAAUCAGUUGAUGAACUCUCAAGUCGUUGAAAUAAACUAGACACAAAAAAAAAAAAAAGGAAACAUUGUGUUCGAGAUUCAUGUUCCACCAAUAAAAAGUAGAUGAGUGAGAAGAUAUUUGCUUACCAAGUGCGAGAACCAGGUCCAUAGUUCUUAGGAUGAGAGUUCCAAACGUUCGAGUGUCCCAUGAUUGUUAGGGUAUUGAGAUGCUCCGAAAUCACAACGUGAAGCACAAAAUUUUGUGAGGAAGGAGAAGCCGGCAAAAAGGAUCCAUUUUAUAUGAGAGAUAAACCCUAAUUUUUGUGGUGUUUUUACUAUUUUAACCCCCUGUGGAAUUGCCCGGCCCAGCUUGUUGAUGGUCCGGUCCAUUUUUUUUCUCUUACUUCUAAUAAUUAGGAAUAAAUAUAAAUAUAGACAUUUGAAGUAGAAAAGGACAAUAGCGUAACUUCACAAAUUUUUCUUUUUAAAAAAGACGUAAUCUUUACCAUUAUUUAUUUUUCUCUCUGAAAUUUUCCAUAAUGUACUUCUCUUAAUUAGAAGCUGCAGAGUCGAAGGUAGUCGUGAAAUUCAGUGUGAUCAUCAAUGGCGGAAAAAGCCGGUUCAUCUUCUUCCACUUCCAACCCACUGGUACCCUAAUCAAACUCAUUCCUUCAUGUUCUCUUUGAUUGCCCCAAUAAUUCCUACUUCUUUUCUAUAUUUCUAUCUAUUUAUUGAAUCGCUGAUUUUGUCUAAUGUUGUUUUACGUCUUCUCUAGACACUAAUAAUCGAAGAUGAAGUUGAGGAAGAACUUUUAUACGGUGCCGGAUCGGGAUGGGUCCAAGCUCUGACUUCUUGCGAUCAUCUCGCUUCCUUAUCAUCCGACCUCGCUCAUAUUCCGCCCCCUCAGACUCCCUGUAGCCAGUCAGCUUUUCUUUUCCCUAAACUAUGUCUUUAAUUCUUAUGUUGUUCUUCAUCUUAAUUUUCGAAUGUGUGUACCUUUUCAGUUUCAUUUCUAUUUCUCCUGAAGGAAGAUGUGCUAAUUUGAUGUUUUGAUUCUUUGAGAUUUUGCUCCAUCAAUCGAAUUCUUAUUGUUUUUGGCUGAUAGUUGGUUUAAAUCCUCUUUUAGAACUUAAAUUUUAAUCCCUAAACUUUCAUUAAAUCCUAAUAAGUUAAUCGAAAUGAAUUGAACUCCUGACUUAAAUCAAAGUCAUGUGGUAUUUAUUAUUAGGCCAACCCAUGAUAUUGAUGGUUAUCUGAAAGAUCAGUCUUUUUAAUAUGAACAGUAAAGAUUUAAAAUUAAGUUUUCGGAAUGGAGAUUUAAAAUUAAGUUUUCGGAAUGGAGGCUUUUAAGCACAAGAUGUUGUCUUUACCACUAAGGCUAUCCUUUGAAGUUAGUGUUCCACUGAUAUCAUGCAAAAAAAUUGAAGUUCUUCCAUUUCAGCUAGACAUCUUCUUUCAGUGGCUCUAUAUCAGUACAUUAGAUGUUUUAUAAUCAUAACAUCCACACCAAAGUCGAGUUCUUUUCUGUCUAUUUUUCUAUGAAUUGUACUUGACGUAUUAUUUCGUCUAAUUUUAUAGUGCUUUCAGAUGGAUUGUCGUGUUUUUAUUUGGGCUUAUUUCCAUGAUUUGGAUAAACGCAUUUCUAUUUGGUUUAUUAAUCCAUGGAACAAUCUACAUAUGCAAGAUGCCAGAAUCCCAAGGAGAAUUGGGUGUGUUUAUGCUGUAAGGAUGUCUUUUGUAGUCGUUUUGUGAAUAAGCACAUGCUUCAACAUUAUGAGCAAUCAACUCAUUGUCUUGCACUCAGCUACAGGUGAAUGUAAAAUGGUUCCUUAGAUUCUACUCUAAUUAUGAACAUAGGUUUGUGAUGUUCAUUAAUAAUUUGCAUUUGGAAACAGUGAUUUGUCAGUUUGGUGUUUCUCCUGCGACGCAUAUUUAGAUGCACAAGUGAUUCAGGAAUUACGACCAGUACACGAAGUUGCCUACAUACUGAAAUUUGGCGAGGCUCCACCAUUUCGAUAAUAUCAAUCAUCCUGCACUGGGGGAACUGAAAUAUCUGAUUAUUAGUGUUAUAACUUUUCCAGUCUCUACUUAUUAGAUGUUUUGAUUUCUUGGUCUGUAUAUGUCAAGCAAAUGGCUUAUGAUCUUCACAUGAAUUAGGUUGGGUUGUCAAAUGUUCAUGGUAAUUUGGUUGUUCACUUUACAGAAGUGAGGGAUAGAUUAGAAUCUCAUAUCUUGUUCAAGAAAAUUUUAAGAAGCUUUUACUUGAAAAUGACAAAAUUCUUGUUUCAAACCUUGAUGAUAACAUGAAUGAAAUUGGUUCCCAACUUUUGUCACUCAUCAUUUUUCGCAGAUGUUGGCGUUUUGGCCCGAAGAAACUUCGCUUCUACUUUGGUUGCAAAGAAAACUCGACACAGCUUCAUUUUAUCUUAUUUUGAAUAAGAAACAGUUCCAUUGGUGGCUUCAAAUUACAAGAAAAACAAGGGAGAAAACUCUCAAAGGAGAGAUUACAAAAGACAUUUUUAAUAAAGCAAUUCUAAUCCAUAGAUGAAAGUCGAACCUUUUAGGUUGGAGAUCUAGAAACUUGUUCAAAAUUGAGUUACUCCACGAUCAAACUUAAUCAAAGUUAGAUUAAAUUACUUGCUUGCAUUCUAUCAUAAGAAUAGAAAAUUCUAAGGAAAAAGACUCAACAUGAGAUUUCAAAUUUCAUUCAUCACAAGUCCUAUAUGCUUACAAAUAGAAUUAUAAAAGGCUUUAUAUAUAACCUCGUGGAGAUUCUAAUAUAACUAAAACUAUCAAAAAGUUUAAAGAAGUUCUCCAUCUUAUCAUUAAUGCUAUUUCAUUGAGCCAGAACUAAAACAUUUCAAGAAUAAAUUGAAUGCUUCACUUUAGUUAUCAUGAAUGUAAGAAAAAUUAGAAAAAGAAGAUAAUUAUGAACUAGAUAUCUUCUCCAUUGACUCAGCAAAAUGAUUAUAUGAUUUAGGUUAUGAUAUUUAUGUACCACGAGUAAACGUAUUUGCAAGUGUAAUUACAUUGUAAAUGUAGACCUCAACGUGCUAUAGCUAGUAUCAAUGUCUAUCUUCUUCCCCAAAAUUUGGCAAGCUUCCGAGCACGUCGCAGGCGCGUUGCUCACACUCCAAUUUGCCCCAUCUUGCAUCGACACGUUCACACGGGAAUAUUGGUUUUCCAAGACUGCAGUGGUAAUCAUUGAAAAGCGGCUAAUCAGAUUAACACGAUAUAAAACACACCCGUUUAAUUGGUUCAAACAGACUAGACAAUGUGUAAACUUCAACUCUACUGCAACAGUAGUUCAUUAAUGAAAAAUAAAGGAGAAAUGGAAAGUCUCUUGUAAGUCAACUAAGUGAAAACUAGGAGUUAAACAUAAAUUAUAUAAUUGAAAAUAAAUGAUCAGAUAUUGAAUCGUUAAAGUGAAUGCAAAAUUUGUGGCAUAACCUUCUGUUGACAACGUUAUGUACACGGCAUAGCCAUCGGGAGAAAUCAGCAUGAGAUCCAGUCUCUACGGGGUUUGCCCUGUCAUACAAUCAACAAAAAAAAAAAGGUGUAAUGCUACUUUACAACGCCAACUUAAGCAUAAUACAUACGAGUAGAAGACAUCUUGUAAUCCCAUAAAAUGAUAUUCUACAACCAAAGUUGAUAUUUUACAUUAAAAAUGUAUUGUUUUUCCUUACUAUUUUCUUAAGAAAUUAUAAAAGAUAUUCAUUCAAAUUUUAGCAAUUGACAAAUACCAGGGUGUCUAGCAAGUACAAAUCAAACAUGAACAUCUAACAAAGCUAAGGUUCCAAGCUACACUCACAAGGGCAAGGCAAGGGCUGCCAGGCUGUAUCAGUAAACAAAUAACUAACACACUG